ACAGUCAGUCAUAUGUUGGAAGUAGGUAUGAAUCAAGACUAUCAUGAAUUGGGCUUGUAGAUGUCUAAGGUGUUAGACAUAUAAAAAGUUGCUGCAACAUUCAUGAGUGCUCAUAAGUUCUGAGUAUUAGAUUAAACCCACGCUCACUUGUAUCACUUCAUGGAAUUUAUCUCGAGUGAUCGUGAGAUGGUAAUAUCAUAUAAGUCUUCAAACCUAGAGAUAUGAGUUUUUGAUUAUGAGUUGGUUGUGCAUUGAUUGCACGAAAACUCAUCAGUAACUUGAUGUUAUAAAACGUGCUUUUAUGUAUGAUUCAACAAGUAGUUAGUACAAGCAUAUGAGUCGAAGUUUAUUUGUUCUUUUUAGUCCUUGGAGGAUUGAAAGCAAUAUCUGGGCCCCUUGAUGAUUUUUUUUUGACCUAUGUGUCGGGCCUGGUCAGAAUCAAAUUGAUGUGUUCAGUUUAGUUCUAUGUCAAACAAAUCGGAAAUCGAGAAACAAAUUGUUGGACAAUAAGUACGACAUUGUUCCAUGUAUUUGUCCGGCUGAUAUCUAGAACAGAGGAUUAUAUGAUCACUUAUCUUAAAUCGCGCAUCAUCAUCUUAGUUCCACGAGACUUUGAAAGAGCUACGAUUGUUGGUCAGAUCCUGAAGUUACACUUGUAACUUUAGUUAUUAGACUUAUCCAAGUGGGAGACUGUUGGAUAAGCUGUGUAAGUCCAUAACUAUAUUUAGUAUGUACUUGAUCCAGCUUUGCAUGGUCCAUUUGGGUUGCAUGGCAUCUCAACAAUUGGAUAGACAAAAUGAGAAUAAGUACACUUAUGAUUUGUUAAUAUAUUCUAAUAUAUUAAUAUGAAAUCAUAUUAUUUAAUUAGUAUUGAUCAACAAAUAAUUUGGAAUUAAUUUUGUGAACAAAAGAGACUAAUUAAAUAUAUGGGGAUUGAUUAUGUAAAUCUUUCAUUCUUAUAUAGUGGGCUUAUGGUACAUGAUUCACUAGAUUGGGCUAGGACCAUUGGGUGCUCCAUGGAGGUUAAAACCCAUAGAUCAUGGGGGAAAUAAAAAUCCGUGCACAUUAGGGAUUACAUGGUGUAACCCUACAUGUAACAGACUACAUAAGGAACCUCAUAUGGAGCAAAAUCGGCCACUAAGACAAAAAAGAGUGAGGGCUAGCCGAAUUUGUGCUCAAAUGUACUUCUCUUAAGUUAUUCCAAGGGUUGUGGUGUUGUAUGAAGCAUUUGAGGCAUCACAUUUCGGGUGUUAGGCUCACAAGGUCUCUAGGAAUCCAAGCAACAAGAAAGGUAUGUCAUUCUACUAAUUUUUAUAUUACAAGUACCCCAUGGUAUGCUAGUUAGAAUGAGAACCUUGGAAAAAUCAUAUUUGCAUGUAUAUUAGAGAAAACAUAGAUCCAAGGUUUCUAGGGUUGCAUGUACACCAUAGGAGUGUUAGAAUGCUCAAAACCCAUCAGUGUUGUAUGUGAUUUUUAGGGAACUCACUAUGCUUUGAUUUUAUUUGUGGAUUAGAUAUUUUUCAGGAACUUAUCAGAUUGCAUAGGCAGAAUUGUACACACACAUCAACAUUUUUAUGAUUUGAGAUUAUGCAUGUCUUCCUUAUAACUUGGAUUUUGAAUUAUGGCUAAUGAAAAAUUGGUUGAAUUAAAUGUAACUUUAAUAAAAAUGGGUGUUUAUUUUACUUUUUUAAUGAAAAUUUUAUUUUGGAAUUUGGGACAUUACAUUAUGUGCAUGCAUUGUAUGUGUAUUAUUUUGUGGAGUAUCUUGGAGAACUGACUAAGCUUUUGCUUACACUUAUGGAUUUAAAUGUUUCACAUACUUCAGAGGAUUGGGGUAAAGUAAAGGAGUGAGUUUAUACACUAUCCUGAAGAUUUUACGAUUUUGAGAGAUGUUAUGUUAGUAUAUUGUGAUUGACUAUUUUGUGAAACAAUUGUUUUUAUGGUGUUUAACUUUUGUAAAAAUGGAUUAUAUUUUUCUUUUAAAAUCUGAAAAUUUUUACCAUGGUUUUUGAGGCAUUACAUGCAUAAUCCACUUGAUCGAUUUCCAUUGAGCUUUCUUCGAAUCACUCACAAACCUACUUACCAUACUAAAUGCAUGAACCAAUUGAGUCAUAGUACAUACAAUAUCAUACAUGUGACUUCUAAUAACACUUAAAUAAGGAACCAUGCUUAUUAGUCCCUAUCCUCACUUUUAGACUAUAUAAUACUUCGACAAAGUUUAAAGAUUUAUGUCAAAGGAGUUCUAACAGGUUUGGACUGCUCAAAAUAGAACGAUUGCAAUACUUUAUGAAUGUAGCUUUGUUGAGAUAUGAAUAAAUUAUUUAUGUAUUGCCAUAUCUAGAUCCCAAAUAUAUUCUUUAUAACUCCCGAAUCCUUUACCACAAGCUCACUUUCCAAUAGCUUAUUCAAGUCAUUAAUUUAAGCCAUAUUCUUGGAUGAAAUGAGCAUAUUGAUAUGGUAUUUUUAUACUUAACAUAUUUUAGGUUUUAUUUAUAGAGCCUUAAUAUAUCACGACUUAACCAAUACGGAAAUAGGUAGUGAACUUGAUCAUGAUUAUCUCUAUGACCUUCUAUAUGAAAGAGUAUGGUAGGUACACAAUACUUGUAUGAAUGACUAAGGUGGACCAUAACACUUGUAUGAAAGACUAUGGUGGAGCAUAGCAGGAAAGACUAUACUGAGUUGUAGUAACGAAUGUGAGUGCAAAUCUAUGAUGAGAUCGUAAUAUUUACAAGGGUAUGGAGUAUUCUGGGGAAAUCACAAAGCAUUGUGCUUACUUGUUUAAUUUUAAAUAUUACAGGUUGUUCUGGCAACAACAAGGAGGGCAAGUUUGAUUGUAUUGCAUCUAUAGACAUGUUUUUGGAGAUUUCCACUUAUUUGAUUUUGCUAUCUUAUUACUCUAGUUUUGGAUUAUGAUUUAUCAAACUAAAACAAAUGCUUGUUAAUUGCUCUUUUUGAGAAUGAGAUUAGCAUGAUUACCAUUAUUUAAAAAUGAAAAAUUUUGUUUGAAUUUUAGGAUGUUACAUUGUUAAUUUUAAAUAUGGACUUUUUUUCUCUAGAUCAUACCUACGAUACCUUAUGUCAUUGUACACCUAGUGCAUUGUAACAUGUGUAACAUCCCAAAAUUCCAGACCAAAACUUUCAUUUUUAAUUAAGUUAUUAUAAAACCAAUUGCAUAAAAACAUCCCAUGUCAAAACCCAAAGUGUCAAUAAUCAAAACGUGUUAUCAUAAAAUAGUAUUAGAGUGUAAUCCCAAAGAUCUCAUGUGCGGAAAACAUAGUGUGAUGCACUACGAUCGCCAACUCCUUUCCUUUUAAAACGAAGUACCUGAAACCAAAAAUAAAAACUGUAAACACGAAGCUUAGUGAGUUCCCUUAUCAUAACACAUACCAUACAACACACAUACUACCAAGCAUAUCUGGGUGCUGGCCUACCCCUUCGAUAUCUUUCAAUCGGUAUCCGGGGACUGUUUCACCCCAAUCACUACCACAUAAUAACAGAGCAUAACAUACAGAAAUAUAGUGUCAAAAAUAUCUGGAUGCCCAACGUACCCGUUCGGUAUCUUUCAACCGAUAUCCGACAGCUAGCCUCCCCUUCGAUAUCUUUCAACCGGUAACUGGGACCUGGCCUCCCCUUCGGUAUCUUUCAACCGGUACUGGGGACUAUUUCACCCCUACCACUACCACAUAAUUGUUGGAAUAGUGUCUAAGGCUACAACUAUAUUAAACAAGUAUUUGACCCGGUUGUGCAUGGUCCUUUUGGGUUGCCUUCACCAUAGCAACUUGAUAGGAUGAUUUAUUAAGAGAGAGUAAAUAUUAUUAAUAUAUUAUGAGAAUAAUAUAAUGAAUAAUAUAUUUGUUAUUUGAUUAAUAUAAGUCAUAGAAUUAAUUAGAAUUAAUUUGGUGACUUAAAGAGAUUAAUUAAAUAAAGGGGUAUAAACUGUCAAUUGUUUGAUAGUUAAGCUUUAGACUGUAAAUCCAUUAGGAUAUGCUUUGGACGAAUUCUAAGGGUUUUAGGAUAGCUAAACUCGUCCAUAUAGAUAUCUAAGGAAUGGAUUUGGAUAGCCUUAAGAGAAGAUUAUCCAAUUAGGGUUUAGGUUGUAACCCUUAAGGAGUCUACAAAUAUAAAUAGACCCCAUGGCAUAGGGAAUUCAACACAUAUCCUAAAGUAAGAGAACCCUGGCCGAAUUCCUUCCCUCUCCUCUCUCCUAAAUCAUUCUUCUUGCUAUUGGUGUUUGUAAGCCAUUAGAGGAGUGACAUUUGUGACUCUAAAAGCUCCAAGACCUCAAGAUCAACAAGGAACUCAAAGGUAUGAUUCUAGAUCUGUUUCAAUGUUGUUAUUUAACCUAAUUAGUCAUUAGAAGUCUUGGAUUCAAAGCAUGUUUAUUAGAAAGCCUAGAUCCAAGCAAUAGGGUUUUGCAUGCGCACAUAGGAAAGUUCUUAUGGCUAAAACCCAUCAGUGGUAUCAGAGCCUAGCUUGGUUUUCUUUAAAUUGUUGCUUGAUUAACUGAAACAAACCUGCAAAAUUCGAUUUUUAGGUUUCUGAGUCACUGACUCGGCGAGUCCCCUUGUGCACUCGGCGAGUCCAGGCGUCAGGAAUGGCCAGAUUCGGGAUUUUUUCAUAAUUAUCUUAUGGAAACUUACCUUAAUCAUAAUAGAUCAAUCUAAAUCCGAUUUUUUGAUAUAUAUGACUAUUAUCUUGAUCUAGUUAAAGUGAUUAGAUAGCUUUAGAAACUUAUAAUAGACAAAUUGCAAUUGACAUUUUGAUAAUUUCAUAAAGGAGUAUUAUUUAUGAGUACUGUUACUAUCUUAUGUCAAGUUUUACUAUUGUUUCACUUUGCAUGUUUUUACUUCCCAAAUAAUAAGAUUAUUUAAAUGAUCAAAAGUUGUUCAUACUUUCAAAGUAGGUGUGAAGGAAGACUAUCAUGAAUUGGCUUGUAGACUAUCUAGAGCAUUUAGACAUAGCAAAAGUUUGCUGCAAUGUUCAUGAGUGCUCCUGAAAUAAGAUUUGAGUAUUGGAUUAAACCCGACUCACUUGAAUCACUUCAUGGAAUUAAUCACGAGUGAUUAUGAGACGAUAAUAUCAUAUAGUCUUUAAACCUAUAUAUAUGGUUUAUUGUUUGCGAGUUGGUUGUGCAUUGAUGAUACGUAAACACGUCUGUAAAUUGAUGUUAUAAAACACAUUGUUGUGUAUGAUUUGAUGAGUAAAUAGUAAAUGCAUAUAAGUCGAAGUUUAUCUAUUCCAUUUAUCCCAUAAGGGUAAAAGAAAUAUCUUGGGCCCCUCCAUCAUUUGGUUUGCCUUAUGUGCCGGUCCCGGUCAGGACUAAAUUGAUGUUUUCAAUUAAGCUCUAUGUCAGACAGAUUAGAGAUCGAGAAAAAAACUGCUGGACAAUAAGUAUGACUAUGUUCCAUGUGAUUGUCCACAUGAUAUCUUGAGAACGGAGGACUAUACGAUCCCUUAUAUCAAGUACGUGUCAUUGACUAGGUCAAAGUCUGACAGCAGCUUUUAAGAGAUACAAUUGCUAAUUGGAUCUUGAAGUUACAUUGGUAGUUAUAGUUAUUAGAUUAUCCAAGUGGGAGACUAUUGGAUCAGGUGUAUAAUCCCAUAACUAUAAUUAGGAUGUACUUGACCUGAUAGUAGCAUGGUCCUUUUGGGUUUCCUUCACACUGUUGACUAGACAGGAUGAAUAUCAAGGAGAGAGGCUGAUUUAUCAUUAAGAAUAAUAAAUUGGGACAUAAAUAUGAUUUAUUUAUAUAUUAUAAGAAUAAUAUAUUAAUUAAAAGUCAUAUUAUUAAAUAGUAUUUAAUCAGAAAUUAAUUUAGAAUUAAUUUUGGGAUUAAAGGAACCGACUAAAAGUGUAGGGGCUAUUUUGUAAUUAUUUGAUAGUUGAGGCUCUGGGCCAAUGGAUCACCUUAUUAAGCAAGGUCCGAAAAUCCUAAAAGGAUCUAGGAGUUUUCAUCCAAGGCUAAAGGCUAGGAGGUCCAUGGACUUGCUUAGGCCCUAAGCUAAGGGAUUAGGUUUUCCACCAUGAAAUCCUAGCUAUCCUCAAGUAUAAAUAGACCCCCUUAGGCUUUAGAUUUUGUCCACCCAUGAGAAACCCUAGUACAGCUGGAUUUUGGAGCUAGUAUAAUCCCUCGAUUUUCUCAUAUUCAGCCCCUCUCUCUCUCAAGUGUGUUUGUGAGCCAUUAGAGGUACUACAAUUGUGGUACGUGUUCUCAAGAGCAAAGGAACUUAAAGAUUUAGUUGUUAUUACUAUACAGCAACAAAAUGUAUGUAUUCUAUUCUUUGAAUUGUGAAUUUUCAAAAAUAGAAGAUGCUUUCUAGGUUUUCCUUUGUGGUCAUUUGUUGUAUGUCUAAUAGUGAAAACAUAGAUCCAAACUAGGGUUGUAUGUCCACAUAUGAUUGUUUGUAUAAAAGCCAACAGUGGUAUCAGAGCCUUUGCUUUUUGUUUUCAAUUGGAUUUGAUACAAAAGUAUGAACUUGACAAAUUAGGGUUUAUGGCUAAUAAACCCUAGGGCUUGAAUUUUUGAAAUUAGGGUUCCAAAACCCUAGUUUGGAAUUUUGUUAGGGUUUCUUAAACCCUUUUCUUUGGCAUUAAAAUUUUGAAAGUAGGGUUGUCUAACCCUAGGGUUUUCAAAAUGACUUAUUCCCCAAGAUAAGUUUCCAAGAUUUUAAGGAUUAGGAUAAUGUUAUCUUUUGUAAUUAUCCCUUUAAUACUUCGAAUAGAUAAUUAAAGAUCGUUGAAUUAUCCCAUCCCAAAUUUUUGAAUUUUAGGAGAUAAAGGGAUUAGGUUAAAUUAAUUGUUUAAUUUAAUGGAUAAUCCUUCAAGAUUUAAUAAUUUAAAUUAAUUAUUUAAUUUUGGAUCAUUAUUAAAUAAAAGUUUUAAUAUUUAAGAUUUUAAAAUUAAAAUGUAUUAAUUUUCGAAAAUUUUAAAUUUGAUUAAAACCCUAGUAUUUUGAAAUGUUUAAAAUACACCCUUAUACUGUUAUAAUAUUAUAAAAUUAAUAAUUAUAUAUAUAUAUAUAUAUAUAUAAGAUAAGCUAGUCUUACNUAUAUAUAUAUAUAUAUGUAUGUAUAAGAUUAAACUAGUCUUACUAUUAGUAGGCCUAAUUCACGAAGCCGAUCUAUAAGGGGGGUAUAAGGUUGUUGCCUAUAGAAUGCUAGGUUAAUGGGUUUCCACUCUCACCCACCGCUUCCUUAUUUGGUGGAGAGUCGUUAGCCAAACAGAAGGAUAGGGCAACUAAUUCCUCAUUAAAAGUACAAUUAUUAAUAAAGUAACUAAAUGUUUUUGUAAAAUUCUCAAUCUUACAUACUUUAGGAAAAAUGUGAAGAUGAUGCUAUUCCAUGAAAUUACACUUUGCACCCUGCCAAGUCGUUAAUGGAGCGUGUGCGGUUAACCGACAUACUAAUUUGGGACUAGCAAAGGUGGAAAAGGGUAGCUUCAUGUUUAUCAUAGAUCAAUGGAGCAUGUGUGGUUAACCGGCACAUUGAUUAGGUGAUUUGUAACAUCGAGAGUACCAAGUACAUUUGCAUGGUUAUUUACACCUUACUUGUGAUCCUCGGUAUCCCAGUCAUAAACUUGAAAGGCAUAUUGAGAUUUAAACAUGCCAUUGAAACUUUCAAUGAAUCUUAAAAGAAUCUAGGAAUUUCAAUUCAUUUCAAACUUCAAACUCUUUUCGUUUUUGAUGGUGGAAAUUAGUGAAUCGUCAUUCACUUACCUUCAAAUUAUUUGCAUUCUAUAUUACGACAUCCCUUUUCUAAAUUGUCAAUAAUUGUGUUGAGUCCUAGCCCUAGAUUUUCAUUUGGGUGUUAAAUUGGGGAUUCUUAUCUAAUCAAAAUUUGUCUUUUUUUUUUUUUUUUUCUUUUCAGAUGUCUGAUUCAAAAACCAACGCUUCUGGCUCAACCCAUGCUGGCUCAUUCUCACUUAUGAAUUUGAAUUUGUGUGGGAGGGUUAUUUUUGACGGGACCAAUUUCAAUGAUUGGAUCCAAAAUAUCUUCAUGGUCACCCGCUAGGAGGAUAAGGAGUAUGUUCUCGACAAGUAGUUGAAGGAGGUUGACACCAAAAAUGCUACUCCCGAGGAAAUUGCUGCAUUCAAGGAUCACGAGCGAGAUGCUACAGAAGUUCAUUACAUCAUGCUCACGACUAUGACUGUCGUACUCCAAAAGUCCUAUGCGGACUACUACCCCUACGAGAAGUUUCACGAUUUGAUGGAUAGGUACCAUCAAAGCACAAGGCAGGAAAGGUACAAGAGCAUUGCUUCGAUAAUCACUACCAAAAUGAGAGAUGGAAAGUCCAUCACGGCCCACCUGCAGAAAAUCCAGAGGUAUGUGGACCGCUUGCUGAUGUUAAAUGUUAACUCCGAUGAGGAGCUGAUCAUAGAUAUCAUACUUCACUCCUUACCUCCUUGUUACAACUAGUUCCGUAUGACCUACCGCAUGAACAAGGAAGAGGUCACUCCAAGCAAUCUUCAAGGUCUGUAAGGACUACUGAGAGUAGUCUAAAAGACAAAUCUAUUGCAUCAACGCCUUUUGGUACCGCCCUUAUUAUGGCUAUUGGGCAAGGGAUGGGUAAGAAGAGGAAGGCUCCUUCUAAGAGCCACCAUAAGGGAAAGUCCCAUGAUGGUACCUCUUCUAGUGGAACCAAGGCUGGUCCCGCUACACCCUCCUCGAACCCGAAGGAUGCUGAUUGCUGUUACUCGUCAUAAAUGACACGAAACAUUAUUUAUUUUCAUGGUUUAUAUACACAAGGUUUUAGAUUUUCGUUUGAUAAUGAAAAAUGUUCUAUUAAUGCUUUCUUUAAUAGUACUUUCUAUUUUGAAGCAUUGCCUUGUAACGGAAUAUAUGAAACUGUGAUGGUUGUAGACAACUUAAGAAAUGAUGUGUUGUAUAUCGUUUCUUCCAAUGGUUUGGAUAAAGCCUGCUUGUGGCAUUGUCGUCUUGGACAUGUCAACAAGAGGCGCAUAGCCCAACUCUAAAAGGAUGGAAUGUUAUAGUCAUUUGACCUUUGGGACGAUGACGUGUGUGAGUCUUGUUUACUUGGAAAGAUGACCAAGUUACCCUUCACUAGUACUUGUGAAAGGGGUGAGGGUUAAUUAGAUCUCAUACACACUGAUGUAUGUAGGCCCUUUAGAUACACCACAAGGGAUGCGAACCGCUUCUAUGUGACUUUCACUGAUGAUUAUAGUAGAUAUGGGUAUAUCUACUUAAUCAAGCACAAGUCAGAAACUUUUGAAAAGUUCAAAGAGUUUAAGUAAGAAUUGGAGAAUCAGCUGGGCAGGAAAAUCAAGAUGCUUCGAUCCAAUCGAGGUGGUGAGUACCUUAGUCUUGAAUUACACGUCUGCCUCAAGGAAUGUGGAAUUGUUUUGCAAUUGACACCACCUAGGAAACCGCAGUUGAAUAGUGUGGUUGAGAGGUGCAAUCAAACCUUUUUGGACAUGGUUCAGUCCAUGAUGAGUCGCACUUUGCUACCUAUCAAAUUUUGGGGGAAUGCCUUAGAGACUGCCGCCCAUAUCCUUAAUCUAGUCCCUACAAAGAAGGUUGCCAAAACACCUCACGGGAUGUGGACAGGGAAAGAUCCCUCAUUGGUACAUAUCAAGGUUUGGGGUUGCGAGGCUUUCAUAAGAUGAGAGACUCACGACAAGCUUGAACCUCGUAGUGAGCAGUGUAUUUUCAUCGGAUAUCCGCAAAAUUCCUUGGCAAUCUCUUCUAUUGACCGAGUGACAAUGUUGUCUUCGUUGCGAGGAGAGGAGUUUUCCGAGAUUGAGAAAUCUUAAGCCAAAAGGAUAGUGGGAGGCAAGUUGAUCUUGAAGAGCUUGAAGAUUCAAGUGAUGAAGGAACCUCUAACGCUAGCGUUCAACCAGAGGAAACUCCUGUUGAACCGAUUGACGAGUGUUUACCUAUUAGACGUUCUAGUAGAGUUAGUGUUCCACCUGCGUUUUAUGGUUUUCAUAUUACUAUGGAGGAUGAUACGUUUAUUAGUCAUAGUACAUUAAUAAAUUUGGAUGAACCUAAUAGCUACAAGGAAGCCAUGGCAGUCCAGAGUCUGCAAAGUGGAAAGAGGCUGUGGAAAGCGAGAUUCAAUAUGUGUAUGAAAAUCAAGCCUGGAACAUGGUUAAAAAUGUACCAAGUCGUAAGACGCUCAGGUGCAAAUCGAUCUUUAAGAAGAAGAAUGACAUGGAUGGGAAAGUACACACUUAUAAUGCGCAAUUGGUUGCAAAGGGCUUUACUCAAACUCCCGAAGUUAACUAUGAUGAGACCAUCUCACCAGUAUCGAAGAUAAAGUCUAUAAAGGUUAUGUUAGCCAUAGUUGUGUUUCAUGAUUAUGAAAUAUGCCAGACAGAUGUCAAAACUACUUUCCUUAAUGGGAAGUUGGAUGAGGAUGUUUACAUGAUUCAGCUGAAGGGUUUUGUCGAUGCAAAACACCCUAAUAGAAUGUGUAAGCUUGAGAAAUCCAUUUAUGGAUUGAAAAAAGCAUCUCACAGAUGGAAUCUUUGUUUCGAUGAGAAACUCAAUGAGUUUGGUUUCUUGCGAAGUGAGGAUGAGUCCUAUGCAUAUGUCAAAGCCAGUGGGAGUAUAGUUAACUUUCUCAUUUUGUAUGUUGAUGACAUACUGCUCAUAGGAAACGACGUCCCGACCUUGCAGGAGGUUAAGUACUGGCUUGUGAAGUACUUCGCUAUGAAGGAUCUUGGAGAAGCUACUUAUAUUCUUGGGAUAAGGAUUCUGAGAAAUAGGAGUAAAAGACUAAUAGGACUUAGUAAAAGUACUUACUUGGAUAAGGUACUAAAGCGUUUUAGUGUGGAAAAUUCCAAGAAAAGGUAGUUACCAAUCCAAAGCAAUACCAAGUUGAGUAAGACUCAAUGCCAAAGUACCGAAGCCGAGAUAACAAAGAUGAGCAGAGUACCUUAUACUUACUCAGUUGGCUAAAUCAUGUAUGCUAUGACUUUUACUCGCCCUGAUGUGGCCUUCGCUUUGAACAUGGUCAACAGAUAUCAAGGGAACCCUGGUAGAGCACAUUAGACCGCAGUCAAGAAUAUUCUUAUGUACCUUUGGAGAACUAAGGAGUGGUUUCUUAUCCUUGGUGGGAGUGAUGAAUUAAAGGUGCGAGGGUAUAGUGACGCCAUUUUUCAAACUGAACGAGACAAUUUCCAUUCUCAGUCAGGCUGGGUCUUUACCCUGAAUGGAGGAGCAGUGACUUGGAAAAGUGCCAAGCAGGAGACCAUAGUUGAUUCAACGUGUGAAAUCAAAGUACAUAGCAGUGAGCGAAGCGUCAAAGGAGGCGAUAUGUAUAAAGAACUCGAUCGGAGAUCUUGGAGUUGUACCGGCCAUAUAGGAGCCUAUGGAGAUUUUAUGUGACAACGAAGGUGCGGUUUCCUUGACCAAGGAACCAAGGGAUCAUGGUAGAUCCAGGCAUAUCUAUAGAAAAUAUCAUUUCAUCAGAUAUCGGGUAGAAGAAGGACUACUCAUAAUAAAGAGGGUAUCGUCAAAGGAUAACCCAAUAGAUCCCCUCAAGAAGGGACUGAGUAGGGUUAUGCACUUCGGGCACCCUAGGAGCAUUGGGCUGAAGGACGAUAUUAAUUUUAGUGAUUAGAUAGCUUUAGAAACUUGUAAUAGAUAAAUUGUAAUUGAAAUUUUUUGACUUAAUAAAGGAGUAUUAUUUAUGAGUAAUGUUACCGUCUUAUGUCAAUUUUUUUACUGUUGUUUCAAUUUGAAUGUUUUUACUUCCCAAAUAAUAAGAUUAUUUAAAUGGUCCACAGUUGCUCAUACUUUCAAAGUAGGUAUGAAGGAAGAUUGUCAUGAAUUGGCUUGUCGACUGUUUAAAGCGUUUAGAUAUAGCAAAAGUUUGCUGCAACAUUCAUGAGUGACCCUGAAAUAAGAUUUGAGUAUUGGAUUAAACUCGCACUCACUUGAAUCACUUCAUGGAAUUAAUCACGAGUGAUUGUCAGACGAUAAUAUCAUAUAGUCUUUAAACCUGGAUAUAUGGUUUCUUGUUUGCGAGUUGGUUGUGCAUUGAUAAUGCGUAAAUGCAUCAGUAACUUGAUGUUAUAAAACGCAUUGUUGUGUACGAUUUGAUGAGUAAAUAGUAAAUGCAUAUAAGUAAAAGUUUAUGUAUUCCUUUUAUCCUAUGAAGUUAAAAUCGAUAUCUUGGGCCCCUCGAUGAUUUGGUUUGACUUAUGUGUCCGGCCCGGUCAGGAAUGAAUUGAUGUGUUCAAUUAAUUUCUAUGUCAGACAGAUUAGAGAUCGAGAAACAAACUGCUAGACAAUAAGUAUAACUAUGUUCCAUGUGAUUGUCCACACGAUAUCUUGAGAAUAGAGGACUAUACGAUCCCUUAAGUAAAGGACUUGUCAUUAACUAGGUCAGAGUUCAACAAUGACUUUUGAUAGCUAAAAUUGCUAAUCGGAUAUUGAAGUUACAUUGGCAGUUAUAGUUAUUAGACUAAUCGAAGUGGGAGACUGUUGGAUUAGGUGUCUAAUCCCAUAACUAUAAUUGUGAUGUACUUGACCCAAUAGUAGCAUGGUCCUUUUGGGUUGCUUUCACACCAGUGACUAGAUAUGAUGACUAUCGAGGAGAGAGGUUAAUUUAUUGUUAAGAAUAAUAAAUUGGGACAUAAAUAUGAUUUAUUAAUAUAUUAUAAGAGUAAUAUAUUAAUUAGAAGUCAUAUUAUUAAUUAGUAUUUAAACAGAAUUUAAUUUGCAAUUAAUUUUAGGAUUAAAGGAACUGAUUAAAAGUGCAGGGGUUGUUUUGUAAUUAUUUGAUAGUUGAGGCUUUGGGCCAAUGUAUCACCUUAUUAAGAAAGGGCCGAAAAUCCUAGAUGGAUCUAGGAGUUUUCGUCCAAGGCUAAAGGAUAGGAGGUCCACGGACUUGAUUAGGCCCUAAGCUAAGGGAUUAGGGUUUCCACCUUGAAAUCCUUGCUAGCCUCAAGUAUAAAUAGACUCCCUUCGGAUCUAGAUUUUGUCCACCUUGGAGAAACCCUAGAAGAGCCGAAUUUUGGAGGUAGUUACCCUCCGUCCUCUUUCUCAUAUUCAUCCUCUUACUCAAGUGUGUUUGUAAGCCAUUAAAGGCACUACAAUUGUUGUACUUAUUCUCAAGAGCAAAGGAACUUAGUGAUUUAGUUGUUAUUACUAUAUACCAACAAAAGGUAUGUAUUCUAUUCAUUGAAUUAUGAAUUUUCCAAAAUAGUAGAUGCAUGCUAGGUUUUAUUUUGUGUUCAUUUGUUGUAUGUUUAAUAGUGAAAACAUAGAUCCAAACUAGGCUUGCAUGCACACAUAGGAUUGUUUGUAUAAAACCCAACAAGUUCCCCCAUCAUACCACGUACCAUACAUGACACAUACUGCCAAGCAUAUCCGGGUGCUGGCCUACCCCUUCAGUAUCUUUCAACCGGUAACUGAGAACUGUUUCACCCCUAUCACUACCACAUAAUAACACAACAGAACAUACCUAGAUUUACUGUCAGGCAUAUCUAGGUGCCCGACUUACCCCUUCGGUAUCUUUCAACCGGUAUCCGGGAGCUAGCCUCCCCUUCGGUAUCUUUCAACCGGUAACCAGGAGCUGGCCUCCCCUUCGGUAUCUUUCAACGGGUAAUCGGGAGCUGGCCACCCCUUCAGUAUAUUUCAACCGGUACCAGGGACUAUUUCACCCUUACCACUACCACAUAAUAGCAUAACAUAACGUAUUACUAGACAUGCAUGGGUUCUGACUACCCCUUUGGUGUCUUUCAACUAGUAUUUAGGGACUAUUUCACCUACUACUACUAACAUAUAUAAUAGAGCAUCCUAACACAUAAAGCAUAUCAGAUAGUGGCAAACCAGAAAAUUAUCACAAAGACAGUCAUCUAAAAAAUAUCUCUUACUCGCCGACAUUGUGGCCUUAGACCCACUUCUACUGGAAGGUAACUCACCUCAAAUUGUUGAAGUCCCUUAGACAAAACUCUAGUUGCUGGAUGAUAGGUUCUCGAACUGACAAUCAUCAAAAUAACACCCCAAUCAGUAAUUGGGUUCCAACAUAUACCCAUAAGUCCAUGCUUGGGGUAAGAGACUGCUUUACCCCUUUCUUAGCUUGAUUCAAGCCUAAGGCCCAAUCCAAAGGCCCAAAAGUCAACAAUAAGUCAAAGCCCAACAUAUGGCCGAAUUUUCCAAAUUGACCCUAAAUCUUUACAUGGUCUUAUUCUAUGACCAAACCAUUUAGUCCAAUCCAAACAUUUGGCAUUUCUAAUGACCCAAUAUCUCAUAAUCAUAAAGGCCAAAUUAUGGCCCACCUAGGGCCUAAUGUUCCAAAUUAGGCUCAAACCUUUACACGGGUCUCACCCUAUGCCCAAUAACUUAUUCCAAUCCAAACAUACCUCCUUAGCUAGUUCAAUAAUUCGCAACCAGAACAAAUAGCCCAAACCCGGAAUGGCCCACAAGGCCCAAUAAAGCUAAAAUCUAUCUUGGGCCUAACCUAAGAAGGACCAAUUUCCAAAAAGGCCUAAAUUACUAAAUGGGCUACCGUAACUAACUCCUAGUCCAUGGUCGAAGGUCCAAAAGUCAACAAAACAAAGUGACGCAACCGGAUCGACUACGCCCUGUGUACUCAUCUGGUACGUUGUGACAUCCCCAAUUUUAUCGACCAGAAAAGACCGAUUUAGUUUAUGCUUUUAAAAUAAAAUCAGAAUAAUUUUUCAAAAGAUGUUGCGGAAUUUGUUCCCAAAAAGAAUAUAAUAAAAAUUUAACCAACCAUUUCUUAAAGAAAUAAAUAUUUUCAUUAUAUAUCAAAAAACCUCGGUAUGUCAUGUUCUGAAAUAGACCGAAAGCAUAACUAGUAAAUUAUAAGCCUUACAACAAAUAUCUACAACUAAUGGCAUAUAAUUUAAAAAUCCUUCUUCAACCUCCAAACUAUGCUCAGGGUCCACCACCUGUAAUACAUAAAACUAAGUGGGUCAGACUUGGGAGCCUGGUGAGUAUAUAGUGUUUUCAACCCACAAAUAAAUAAAUUUAUUAAUUUCACUACCCAACAACAAAUUUAUCAAUCCUAAAUAAAUUUAUUAAUUUUAUCAACCAAAAAUAACCCUGAUUACCCAUUCCCGGUAUCCUCACUUGACGUCCCUCUAUCACAAGGGACCUAGUCUAAGGAUUUUCAUGAGGGUUACAACACUGCUUUAGGGGAUUCCUCAACAAUUUAUGUCAAAUAAGGCAACCGUGUAGGGGAUGGAGUAUACCACUCAACACUAAGUUCACAAACACCUACAGGUUACGAUCUUGCUAGCGUUCUACUGGAUUGUCUAGAAAAGUCUGUGGUUGUCAUCUAUACUCCGUUAGAUGACUGAAACAACAACAAUAUCGAAAUCUCUCAUCAUUCUAACACACACCAAGUAUUUGAUCUACCCAUGUUAUACCCAACAUAUUUGUAGUUAAAAGUAAAUAUACAGUUUAAAUCAAUUUAAAACUUGUAUAAAACAUUCAUUCAACAUCCAUCUCAAAUAAACAAACAAUAUAAUUACACAUAGCAUAUAUUUUAUAUAAAAUACUUCAUAUCUAUGUGUAAGGUGAAAGUGACCACACACUCACAUGAUAAGAUGAUAAUCAGGAAGCACCUCAUCUCUUAAAAUAAUAUUCUUCGAUGAAACCGGGGUGUUUUCUCAAAAACCGGGCUUCACAUGGGCAGAGUUUCGGCUCGGAAACACUUUUUCUCGGGAUCUUUGGGGCUCUCGGACUUGCUUAGGUGUUAGGAUGAUACAUUAGGCUUCAGGGGUAUUUCUUGCAAAGUAAAAGAGAGUUUAGAGGUGAAAGAUGUUAAAGAAGUAAAUAAAAACCCGGUUGACCUCGAGUCCUAUUUAUAGGGGCUAAAACCUCGAUUUACGCUUACACUGGUUGUACUACGAAGCGGUCCAGUACGCUACCUAGUAUGCUGGACAUACAAAGGGAUUGUACCAGAUGCAUCAAGGCUACGAGCACGCCUCUCUCAUGCGAAGUAGUAGGCUAUGUGGCCCAACUCAAACCAUGAACACAAGUAUGCUGGGAGUACUUCGAAUUUCCAUACUUCUAAAAUUCGUAACUUUUGCAUAAGAACUCUGUUUUUGGCGUCCUUUAUAUCCACGUGUAGGUGAGACUAUGAUCUAUAACUUUCGUUUGGACUCCGUCGGGUAGUUUUGAAUUUAUUUUUAAAGUUAUAUUUUUAACAGGCCGGGAUAGGAAAAGUUCGUUAAAAAUUCAUAACUUCUUCACCUGACGUCCGUUUUCAUUUGUCUUUUUACCGUUAAACUAAAAUCAACAAGAUCUUUGAUUCUCGUUUAGAUUGUCUCGGCUAAAAAUCGUUCGAUCUAAAUUUUGAGUUUUUGGUUGCAUACUGCCAAGUCAAAACUUCGAAAAAUCAUAACUUCCUCAUACGAAGUCAAAUUUAGACAUUCUUUUGAUGCAGACUCUUGGUUUAAUGAAUACUACGACUUUUGUUUAGAUCACUAAUGUUAAAAAGCACUUUAUCAUAAAUUCACUUUUUACGUCACAUAGCGUUGUGCCGGUUCUAUCGCGAAACUUCGACAUGUCAUAACUUCUUCGUUUUAACUUGGAUUUCGGUAUUCUUUAUAUCUCUGGAAUCCUUACUUCAACCACUACAACUUUCUUCAUAGUUAUUGGGUUUAUCUAACGUUUAUUUCCGAUGCUUAUUUUUAUAUUUAACUUAUUAAAUCAUUAUAAUCAAGUAAACAAGCACCAAAUUCACAUAAUUUCUAUUUAGUAUUUCAAAACCAGUUACAAAGGUUAACCUAGACUAUUACAUCAUAUUUAGUGCUUAACCCAGAAACACGGACGUUACAAUUCUCUCACCCUUAGGAUGAUUUCAUCCUCGGAAUCAUACAUCAACAAAUAAAUGUGGAUAGCGACUCAUCAUGUCACUCUUCGUUUCCCAGGUGAGAUUUAGCCCAUUCGCAUGUUUCCAUCGCACAAGCACUAAUUCGACCAUCUUGCGCCAUAACUUUUAGUCUUACGGUCAACGAUUGCCUCUGGUUCUUCGAUUAACCUCUUGCUUUCAUCCAACCUUAAUUAAAAAAUUGGAAUGAUGUCGGGAACAUCUCCAGUGAACUUCCUCAAAUAACACAUAUGGAAAGUGUUAUGAAUACCAUUUAGUUCUUCUGGUAGUUCUAGCUUGUAACCUUGAUUCCCAAUUCUCUGAAGCACUUUAAACAAUCCAAUAAACCUUGGACUCAACUUUCCCCUUUUACCAAAUCAUAUAAGUCCCUACCAUGGCGAGACAUUAAGCAAAACCGAAUCACCAACUUUGAAUGUUAUCGGUUUUCUUUUCUUGUCAGUAUAGCUCUUUUGAUGAUCUUGAGCUGCUAACAUCCUUUCCCUAAUCAUUUUCAACUUUUCAGCAGUCUGAUGGACUAUUUCAAGUCCCAUAAACUGCUUUUCUCCAGCUUCAAGCUAACACAAUGGCGUUUGACACUUUCUCCAUACAAGGCUUGAUAAGGUGGCAUCUUGAUGCUCGAGUGGAAACUGUUAUUGUAGGAAAAUUCUACCAAAGGUAAAUGUUCAUCCCGAUUACCUUAAAAUUCCAGGGUACAUGCUCUCAGCAUAUCCUCAAGUGUUUGAAUCAUUCGUUCGCUCUGACCAUCGGUUUGUGGAUAGUAAGAUGUACUCAGACACACUUUCGUACCUAAUUCCUCUUGUAGACUUUUCCAAAACCUCGACGUGAAACAACUCUCAUGAUCUGAUACAAUAGUUAAAGGCACACCAUGAAGUCUUACUAUCUCCUUCACACAAGUAUUAGCAAGUUUAUUCAUAGACCAUUUCUCAUUGGCUGCUAUGAAGUGUGCACUUUUUGUAAACCGAUCAACGAGCACAAAUCAUGUNNNNNNNNNNNNNNAAGGUAGUUUAGUCACAAAAUCCAUAGUGAUGUCUUCCCAUUUACCCAUGGGUACAGGUAAAGGUUGUAAACUCCCAUAUGGUUUCUGAUGUUGUGUCUUAACUCUCGCACAUGUCACACACUUGGCCACAUACUUUGCAACAUCAAGCUUCAUCGUCGGCCACCAGUAAUAGAGUUUCAGGUCCCUAUACAUUUCCGUGCUGUCGAGAUGAAUUGAGUACAUGGUAUUGUGAGCUUCUUGCAUCAGAAGAUCUCUUAUCCUCCUGUCUUAGGUACCAAAAUUCGAUCUUGGAAUACCUUCACUCAAUGACUUUUUAUACCGAACACUAAUGUUUUGCCCAAACAUUCUCCUUUUUGGUCAUUCUUCUCUGAAGCUUCCUCCUGAGCUUUCUUUACACUUUCUACAAUUGUCGAGACAACUUCAUUGUUCAACGCUCUUGGCCUUUUCUUUUCAAGUUUUACAUUCCGACUGAUAGCAUCAACAACAACAUUUGUUUUACCAGGAUGGUAAAGUAUCUCGCAGUUGUAGUCCUUGAGUAAAUCUAGCCGGCAUUGUUGCCUCAUAUUUAAUUCCUUCUAAUUAAAGAGAUACUGAAGACUCUUAUGAUCUGUGAAGAGUUUGCACCUUUGUGCCAUAAAGAUAAUGCCUCCAUAUAUUUAGGGCGAAUACUAUCGCUGCCAACUCCAGAUCAUGAGUGGGGUAGUUCUUUUCAUUCUCUUUCAAUUGUCGAGAUACAUAUGAUAUCGCCUUUUCUCUUUAAGUUAGGUUAUAUUCCAACCCGACUCUUGACGCAUCACUAUACACUGCAAAGUCUUCAACUCCAUCAGAUAGAGAAAGAAUCGUUGUGUCACAUAAUUUCUUCUUUAGAUUCUCAAAUGCUUCCUUAUGCUUCUCACUCCAAGUAUAAGUAGCUCCCUUAUGGGUCAAAGUUGUCAAUGGAUCAACUAUCAAAGAAAAGCCUUGGAUAAAUCUUUGAUAAUAUCCAGCUAAUCCUAAAAAGCUUUGGAUUUUCGUAGGACUGUUUGGUUGUUCCCACUUUGUUAUAACUUCAAUCAUAGCUGGGUCAACCAUAAUCCCUUCUUGUUUGACCAUAUGACCCAAAAAUUGGACUUCUUGAAUCCAAAAAUCACAUUUGGAGAACUUUGCAUACAACUUCUCGUUCUUUAAUACUUCUAACACUUCUCGCAAGUGUCUACCAUGCUCCUCUUGGCUUUUCGAGUAAAUCAGAAUGUCAUCUAUGCACACUAUCACAGAUUUAUCACAGAAUGGUUUACAAACCAUGUUCAUCAAAUCCAUGAAGGCUACUGGAGCAUUGGUUAGUCCAAAUGACAUAAACAAAAACUCAUAGUGUCCAUAUCUUGUUCUGAACGCAGUCUUCUCAAUAUCCUGCUCUCUCACCUUUAGCUGAUGAUAUCCUAGCAUAAGAUCGAUCUUCGAGAAAUAGCUCGAACCAUGCAUCUGAUCAAACAGGUCCUCAAUCCUUGGCAACGGGUACUUGUUCUUUAUUGUUGUCUUAUUCAACUCUCUAUAGUCUAUGCACAUUCUCAUACUCCUAUCUUUCUUCCUUACGAAUAAUACCGGAGCUCCCCAGGGUGAUGAACUAGGUCUAAUGAAACCAUUGUCCAACAACUCCUGAAGUUACGUCAUAUGCUCCUUCAUCUAUGUCGGCGCUAAUCGAUAUGGGUCUUUUGGUAUCGGUGUUGUUCCUGGUAACAAGUCUAUUGUAAACUCCACUUGUCUAUCAGGGGGCAAUCCAGGAAGAUUUUUGGGAAAAACUUCCGGAUAUUCACACACCACUGGUAGGCUUUGCAUUUCCUUCUUCUCCUUUUUGGAAUUGAUCACGAAUGCCAAUUAUGACGUACAUCCUUUACACAAACAUUUUCUGGCUGUCAUCAAGGAAAUGAUUCCAGAAUUCACUCUGCGCUUAUCUCCAUACACCAUAAAUGACUCUUUUCCAAGCGGGUUUACCCUUACUAUAUUUUCCUUGCAUAAUAUUUCGGCAUCAUUAGCGCUAAGCCAAUCCUUCCACAGAACGAUGUCGAAACCAUUUAACUCUAUGGGUAACAGCUUCUCUUGGAAUUCGUUUCAGUUCAUGUCGAUGACAAUGUUCUUAAUACAUUCACUAACAGGUAUGAAUUUGCAAUUAGCAACUUCUACAAUUAGGGCAUCAUCUAGCUUUUCUAUAGGCAAUGCUAGUCUUUUACCAAUUUUAUGUGAUAUAAAGGAGUAAUUCGCUCCGGAAUCAAACAAUAAUUUGGCAGCCAAUCCAUUUACUAGAAAUGUACCUGAUGUGACAUCUGUUGCAUCCUUUGCGGCUUCCAAAGUCAUUUAGAAAGCUCUAGAUUUUGGCUUUGGUGGAAGUUUAGGGUUUGCUACAUCCUUCUUCUUCGGGCAAUCCUUCAAAAUAUGCCAUUCUUCAUGGCACCCAUAGCACACCCGUUUAUUGAUUGUGAAGUUGCUGGCGUAGUGUGCUGGCUUCCCACACUUAAAACAAGUGACUUCCACGUCACAUUUUCCAUGGUGCUUUUUCUUGCAUUUGUCGCACCAUUUGGCUUUACCUCCUCCAGACUUCUUUGUACCAGAUUUCGAGAACUUGCUCUUCUUGUUGGUAUUUGACGACCCAUCAAAUUUCCUUUUCUCACCAACCUCUUUUCUCUCCAGACCCUUUUCUCGAAUUUAGGUCUCUACAUUCUUAGCAACCCAGAUGGCGGUGGCUUUCAGAUUUGUUGCUUGUUUGACCAUUGGACCAAAGUCCGCUGGUAAUCCGUGGGGAAACUUGUUGACCUUGAGAGUUUGGUUGGAACUAGGUAUGGAAUAAGCUUCAUUUUCUCUGUAAAACUUACAGUGUAAUCAGUCACGCUCAUUUUUCCCUUCUUCAAAUUUCGUAACUCAUUGUUAAUUUCCAAAAGAUCCUGCUCAAAGCAGUAUUGAAUCUUCAACUGUACCAGAAAAUCUUCCCAGUACAUCUUACUAGCUUCUCCCUUGGGCAUCGAAUCAGCUAGUAGCUUCCACCAGUUCAGUACUCUAGAUUGUAAUAGAGGAUUUGCGAGAGCGGUUUUCUGCUUGUUACUACACUCGUAACUUUCAAACAUUGUCUCCAUUUCGAAGAUCCAAUCCAUGACUUCCAUCGGUGUCGGGCUUCUAGAUAGACAUAGUGGUUUGGAUGCCAUAAAAUCCUUGUACUUGCAUCCACGUCCGUCAUUUCUUUCAUUCUGAUAGUAUCGUCUAACUAUUGGUGGGUUAGCUUGAACAAUAGCCUCACUAUAGUUUCCUUCUUCUGACUGCCCUUCUUUCAACUCGGGCUAUUCAAUAGGCACCAAAAUUUCCUCUUGGUUCUAUUGAAGUAAACGCCUUGUUUCCUCCAUUUGGCGAUCCAACAUCAUCUGCAUCAUUGCUUGUACCCCAGCCAUUGUCAUUGGCUCAGGUGCAGCUACUACAACAUGUACCUGCUCUCUCUCUUGGGGCUAAGCUUGUUGAAAUCUGUUUGCAUUUCUGGCUUCACUUCAUGUUUUCGCCAUUAUGAUCUAUAUACCAAAUAAGGCGAAUUUAGAUCUUCAUUACUCUGAAAAAUUAUUUGCUAGUUCUAGUAUCGUAGUCGCACGCUUAGAAUCCUUAACACAUAAGGUUUCUAGAUCCGGUCAGCAACAAACCAUAGAUCUAAAUAAGUAAUGGCAUAUAUGGAAAACAUAUAGCAUUUAGCACAUAAAAGAAUUUUAGGCAUCUAUCCAAAAAUAUAUUAGUGCUCGUGACUGAAAUAUGGUAUACACUUAUCUCACAAUUAUCACUUAGCAGUCUAAGUUUAAGUCUAUAAAUCUAACAAAUUCCUAGUUCGCAUAAACUAAUGCUAUGAUACCAACUGUGACAUCCCCAAUUUUCUCGGCCAGAAAAGGUCGGUUUAGUUUAUGCUUUUAAAAUAAAAUCAGAGUAAUUUUCCAAAACAUGCUGCGGAAUUUGUUCCCAAAAAGAAUAUAAUAAAAAUUAAUAAAAACAACAUUUCUUAAAGAAAUAAAUAUUUUCAUUAUAUAUCAAAAACCUCAAGAUGUCAUGUUCUAAAAUAGACCAAAAGCAUAAACAAUAAAUUAUAAGCCUUACAACAAAUAUCUAUAACUACCAACUUAUAAUUUAAAAAUCCCUCUUUAACCUACAAACUACUCUCGGGGUCCACUAUGUGUAAUACAGAAAACUGAGUGGGUCAGGCUUGGGAGCUUGGUGAGCAUAUAGGGUUUUCAACCCACAAAUAAAUAAAUUUAUUAAUUUCAUCACCCAAUAAUAAAUUUAUCAAUGCAAAAUAAAUUUAUUAAUUUUAUCAACCAAUAAUAACCCUGAUUACCCAUUCCCGUUAUCCUCACUUUACGUCCCUAAACACCUAUCACAAGGGACCUAAUCUAAGGAUUUUCAUCGGGGUGACAAUACUGCUUUAGGGGAUUCCUCAACAAUUUUUGUCAAAUAAGGAAACCAUGUGGGGGAUGGAGUAUACCACUAAACACUAAUUCACAAACACAUACUGGUUGCGAGCCUAUUUGCGUUCCACUGGACUGUCUAAAAAAGUCUAUGGUUGUUAGCUAUACUCCAUUAAAUGACUAAAACAACAACAAUAUCGGUAUCUCUCAUCAUUUUAACACACACCAACUAUUACGUCCAUCCAUGUUAUACCCAACAUAUUUGUAGAUAAAAAUACAUAUACAACUUAUGUAACGCCCGUAGAUCCGGGCUAUUCAAUUUAGAGAUAAUAGGGGUCGAAAAUAACUUUUCAGCAAAAGAUUAUUUAGAAUAAAUAAUCUUAACCAAGUUUUAGUAUAUGUUACAAGGUUUCCGUAAAUAUAAAGAGUGCCGAAAUCUGAGCUAUAACGAAGAAGUUAUGACCCGUCGAAGUUUCGCGACGGAACCGACACGACACCGGGAAGUGUAAAUAGUGAAUUUAUGAUAGAGCGACUUUUAUUCUUAGCGAUCUAAAUAAAAUUUGUAGAAAAUAUUAAACCAAGAGUGUCCAUAAAAAGAACGCCCAAAUCAGACUUCGUAUGAGGAACUUAUGAUUUUUCUAAGAUUUGGCAUAGCGAUGCAUGACCCGAAACUCGAAUUUUAGUUUGAGCGGUUUUUGGCUUACGCGACCUAAGUGAGAAUUUAAUAUCUCAUUAAUAGAAACUCAACGACAAAAAGACAGAUGAAAACGGAGUCCACAUGUAAAAGUUAUGAAUUUUACGCGGACAUUUAACAGUAUAAUCACCUCCUACUGUUAAAUUUAAGAUCGGUCGAUAAUUAGCCGACAAAGUAAAAAGGAAAGUUUUAGAUUUUAUUUUUACCUACAUGUGGAUAUAAAUAACAUCAAAAACGAAGCUUGUAUGCGAAAGUUAUGGACGAAGCUUAGUCUCUACUUUUUGAGCGCGACAAAUUCGAUAUAGUUUUGUAAAUCAAAGAUAGAUUGAGAAUUUGCCAACAAGGUCUAAAUGAAAGUUGUACUAAUCGUAAAUACCAACAUGUGGAUAUAAAUAUCAACAAAAACGGAGAUUGUAUGCGAAAGUUAUGGAUGAAGCUUAGUCUCUACUUUUCGAGCGCGAUGAAUUCGAUACAGUUUUUGUAAAUAUGAGAUAGAAGGAGAAUUAGCCGACGGGGUCUAAAUUAAAGUUGUAGUACUCGUAAAUACCAAUGCGUGUGUAUAAAGAACGUAGAAAACGGAGCUCGUACGCAAAAGAUACGGACGAUGCUUGGAGACUACUUUACUAUAAAAUUCCUAUAAAUAAGAGAUGAACUCUUCAUAAUUUCUUCACACCAUAAGCCUCUCUUUCUCUCUCUAACUUCUCUCUAGCCUCCCUAAACCCCUCCGAAGUCUAGGGAACCUCCCUAACACGAGAAGAAAGCCCCGGAGCGCCCGACGGCUCCGAGAAGAAAAGCUUUCGGCUCGAAAACGCUGCUCCAGCGAAGCCCCGGUUUUAAUAAAAACACUUUGUAAGUGAGGUACACCUAUACUAUAUUUAAUAUACCUUUUAUUUAAUUAUAGUAAAAUUAUUAGGACCUUAAAAUAAUUAUGUGGGCUAUUAUUAUUAUGAGUUAUAUUGAGUGUUAUUUAACGCUUAUAUAAUAGUAAUAACGGCUAGACUGUUAAUUAGUCGCGGUUAACGUUAAAACUAAACCCUAGUGGUAUUGAUACUAGGUUUUGUCAAGGAAAAUUGUUUUGAGAUAACGAAGCGCUGUCUGAGAUCGGAAUCACCACCGUAUCAAGUGAGUGCAUAGUUACUUUCCUCUUACACAUAGAUAAGAAGUAUUUUAUAUAAACUAUGUGCUACGUGUGAAUAGUAUCUGUAUAAUUGCUAUCUAUGCUGGGUGAACGAUUUUAUACAUGUUUUAAAUGAUUUAAACUGUAUAUGUAUUUUAUAUCUACGAUAAUGUUGGUGUAAAACAUGGGUAGAUGUAAUAGGUGGAGUAUGAGUUGUAUGAUGAGUUGAGAGGUGAAAUAAACCGAGAGGUGAGGGUGAGAGGUGGACGAUGUGAGAAGCCUUUUUCCCAAUUGAUGGCCCAGUCAUUCAGCAGAGUAUGGAUGACAACCACAGACUAUUCUAGACAGUCCAGUGGAACACUAUUAGGCUCACAACGUGUAGGAGUUGUGAACGAUGUGUUCACCGGUGUACUCUAAAAACCCAUUGACAUGUAUUGUGAGUGGAUACUGUCGAUAAACGAAAUAGCCCUGGCAGCUAUGGAUUUAGUGCUUUUUGAGUAAACCCUGACAACGAUGGAUUUCUUGCCGAUUCCUUAGGAUGAUCCUUAGGAAUGAAUUAACGAUGAGUAGCUGAUUCUUAGGGUAGACCCUUAAGAGUAAAGAAGAUAAUGGGGAUGGGUAAUUGGGUUAACUGUUUGACGAUUAAACAUAAUAAUUAUAUUAUUGUGGGUUGAAAACGUUAUGUACUCACCAGGUUUCCCAACCUGACCCACUCAGUUUAUUUAUAUCACAGGUGUUGAUAUGAAGUCACAUUACACUGAGAGAUUAAGGAGAUAUAGAUCACUAGUGAUAAUGAAUGUAAGUUCUAUUUAUGCUUAUGUUUCUGUAUUGACAAUGACAUCCCAAAUGUUUUAAAAUGAAUAAAAAUACUUUUCUUCGGAAAUGCUUUGAUAACGUAUUUAUCAUGUUUUAUUGGGAACAAAUUCCGCAACAUUUUGAUUAAAAGAGAUACUCUAAUUUUUAUAAAGCAUAAACAUAAUCGGUCUUUUCUGGCCGUGAAAAUGGGGAUGUCACAGUUGGUAUCAGAGCAUUAGUUUAAGUGAACUAGGAAUAUGGAUUUAUUUCUAGACUUAAACUUAGAAUUCUAAGCAAUGAUUGUGAGGAGUGUGUCUUAGGUAAUACACUUGAAUAGACACAAGCACUAGCUUAUUUUGGGAAAAUGUCUAACAUGCUUUGAUGUGCUAAAUGAUUUAUGGUACUUUAUGAUGCUAAAUGUAUAAUCGAAUCUAUGGUAUGUUUCCGACUGGAUCUGGAAACUUUAUGUGUUCAGAUUUCUAAACAUUUAAUUACGGUAUUAGAAUUGGCAUGUAACUUUUCAGAGUAAUAGGGAGAUUUACACGUUGAUCGUAAAUAAAAUCUUUCCUAUAUUAAUUCUCGUCACUACACACCGAACAUCCGACUUGGUGUAUAGAUCGACAUGGUGAGCACUCGAAGAGGAAUUAGAAGUGGAAACUCACAGCCCAAACCACAAGUGAUUGAGCAUGCACCAGAAGUAACAGUUGCACCUGGGCCAAUCACGAUGGUAGGGGUACAGGCAAUGGUGCGGAUAAUGCUGGAUCAAUAGCUGGAAGAAACAAGGCGUUUACUUCAACAAAGUAAAAACGAACUUAAUGUGCCAGUACGCCAGGCACCUACUCUUGAGGUAGCCAUCAGGGUUAAGAUUGGCAAGAAGAGGAAGUUUGAGGGAUCUUCAUGGUCCAACUGGAAAAGCUUAUUCUCACAGUCUGGAGAAGGAAGAGGUGAAGCAAAAUGGUGUAACAGGAGAUGCCCUAAGGAAGUGACCUGCUUUAAAUGCGGGAAUAUUGGUCAUUAUGCCUAUAAAUGCUCAACCAAGGAGGAAGUUUGCCUUAAGUUUAGUGGAAAGGGACACUUCAAGAGAGAUUGUUUGAUAAGGACUACAACGCCAAAUGUACCGCUAAAGCACUGCGAGGGAUGCGACGAAGAAGUAACUUGCUAUAGGUGUGGAAGAAUCAGUCACUAUUCCAAGGAUUGUACACAUAGGGAUAAAGUCUGUUACAGAUGCAGAGACAAGGGGCACAUGUCUAGGGACUGCUCGAAGACAAAUGAAGCAGCGAGACUGAAUGUGCCGCCAAAGCCGAAGGAAAGAGAAUUCCAGAGGAUCCUUGGCGAAGCUAGUGACAAUGGAAGGUUUCAGGAGUGAAGGCUUGAUAUCCAAAGAUCGAGUUAUGAAGUAGGCAUAGUAUCGUAGGGGUAGCCUAUUAGAGGCAUAGUCUAGGAUGAACUUGAACACCUAUGUAAUUGUUUCAAGAAAUAAUAUAAAGCCUUCCUUUUAUUAUCCGGUGUGUUAAGCUGUUAUGUGAUCUUCUUGCAUGGUGACUUGGAACACUACGAGACAAAACUUGGAACGAGUAUCAGUAGGUGUGAAAGGUAGUAGAUGCAUAUACUACCGGAAGCACAAGACUCACGUUUGGAUCAGGGAAAGUCACAAGGUUACCAAGAAGCUAGUAGUUGAUACCCUUUUGUUCAACUAUGUCGUUACCAUCAUUUCGGUAAUGACUAAGAAGAUUGUUGUUAUUUCGACCCUAGUGGUCAUAUGAAAUUGAGUCUGACUAUGAUGAGCAUGUUACGUCAUUCAGAGAACCAAGUUCGAUGUAGCAUCUGACUUAACCCAGAAGAUUGAAGUGAGAGAUAAUCAAAGCGAUUAAUAGAAGUAUCACGAUCGUUGUUAAAGAAGUUAGUAGCUAGAAAUGCUACAUGUUAAAAUGUGAUUCUAUCACAUUAGAAAAGGAAGCAAGGUAUAUUCCAUUAUGAAAUUUGACUCUAAGAGACCUGAGUCUAAGCGUUGUGACACACGAUGAGAGGUCAUUGGAACGUGAUCCAUCAACCUAUUUUGGAAACCAAACAACUUAUCCUAAGAUUGUUACGAGGAACAAGCAGUCUCCAGUCAAGAUUGAGAUUAUGACUUGAAGGUCAUAACUGGGAGUCCAACGUGAGAUAGGGAGCGGGUCCAAGAUCGGGCACCGCCUGUAGUCACGAAAUAUUCGAGUUAGAUACUCGUUUGAAGAAACAUCAAAGUUACAGUUAUUACUUAGGAUGAAGAGAUAAUGUAUUGAGUCAUCAUGUGAGCCAUGUUUCUUUAAUGAUUCUGGGACAUAAUCAUCCUAAGGGGGAGAUAAUUGUAACGCCCAUAGAUCUGGGCUAGUCAAUUUAGAGAUAAUAGGGGUCGAAAACGACUUUUUGGAAAAAUAUUAUUUAGAAUAAGUAAUCUUAACCAAGUUUUAGUAUAUGUUACAAGGUUUCCGUACAUAUAAAGGUCGCCGAAAUCUGAGUUAUAACGAAGAAGUUAUGACCCGUCGAAGUUUCGUGACGGAACCGACACGACACUGGGAAGUGUAAAUAUUGAAAAUACGAUAGAGCGACUUUUAGCCUUAGAGAUCUAAACAAAAGUCGUAGAAAAUAUUAAAUCGAGAGUGUCCAUAAAAAGAACGCCCAAAUCUGACUUCGUAUGAGGAACUUAUGAUUUUUCUAAGAUUUGGCAUAGCGGUGCAUGGCUAGAAGCUCGAAUUUUAGUUUGAGCGGUUAUUGGCUUAUACGACCUAAAUGAGAAUUUAAUAUCUUAUUAAUAGGAACUCAACGACAAAAAGUCAAACGAAAACGAAGUUUAUAUGUAAAAGUUAUGAAUUUUACGCGGGCAUUUAACAGUGUAAUCACCUCCUACUAUUAAAGUUAAGAUCGGUCGAGAAUUAGCCGACGGAGUGAAAAGGAAAGUUUUAGAUUUUAUUUUUACCUAUGUGUGGAUAUAAAUAACGUCGAAAACGAAGCUCGUAUGCGAAAGUUAUGGACGAAGCUUAGUCUUUACUUUUCGAGCGCGACAAAUUCGAUACAGUUUUGUAAAUCCGAGAUAGAUUGAGAACUAGCCAACGAGGUGUAAAUGAAAGUUUUAGUACUCAUAAAUACCAACGAGUGGAUAUAAAUAUCAACAAAACCGGAGAUCGUAUGCGAAAGUUAUGGAUGAAGCUUAGUCUUUACUUUUCGAGCGCGGCAAAUUCGAUAGAGUUUUUGUAAAUAUGAGAUAGAAGGAGAAUUAGCCGACGGGGUCUAAAUAAAGUUGUAGUACUCGUAAAUACCAAUGCUUGUAUAUAAAGAACAUAGAAAACGGAGCUCGUACGCGAAAGAUACGGACGAUGCUUGGAGACUACUUUACUAUAAAAUUCCUAUGAAUAAGAGAUGAACUCUUCAAAAUUUCUUCACACCAUAAGCCUCUCUUUCUCUCUCUAACUUCUCUCUAGCCUCCCUAAACCCCUACGAAGUCGAGGGAACGUCCCUAGCAUGAGAAAAAAGCCCCGGAGCGCCCAACGGCUCCGAGAAGAAAAGCUUUCGGCUCGGAAACGCUGCUCCAGCGAAGCCCGAUUUUUAAUAAAAACACGUUGUAAGUGAGCUACAGCUAUACUAUAUUUAAUAUACCUUUUAUUUAAUUAUAGUAAAAUUAUUAGGACCUUAAAAUAAUUAUGUGGGCUAUUAUUAUGAGUUAUAUUGAGUGUUAUUUAACGCUUAUAUAAUAGUAAUAACAGCUAGACUGUUAAUUAAUCGCGGUUAACGUUAAAACUAAACCCUAGUGGUAUUGAUACUAGGUUUUGUCGUGGAAAAUUGUUUUGAGAUAACGAAGCGCUGUCUGAGUUCGGAAUCACCACCGUAUCAAGUGAGUGCAUAGUUACUUUCAUCUUACACAUAGAUAAGAAGUGUUUUAUAUAAACUACGUGCUACGUGUGAAUAGUAUAUGUAUAAUUGCUAUCUAUGCUGGGUGAACGAUUUUAUACAUGUUUUAAAUGAUUUAAACUGUAUAUGUAUUUUAUAUCUAUGAUAAUGUUGGGGUAAAACAUGGGUAGAUGUAAUAGAUGGAGUAUGAGUUGUAUGAUGAGUUUAGAGGUGAAAUAAACCGAGAGGUGAGGGUGAAGGGUGGACGAUGUGAGAAGCCUUUUUCCUAAAUGAUGGCCCAGUCAUUCAGCAGAGUAAGGAUGACAACCACGGACUAUUCUAGACAGUCCAGUGGAAAACUAGUAGGCUCGCAACGUGUAGGUGUUGUGAACGAUGUGUUCACCGGUGUACUCUAAAAACCCAUUGACAUGUAUUGCGAGUGGAUAUUGUCGAUAAACGAAAUAGCCCUGGCAGCUAUGGAUUUAGUGCCUGUUGAGUAAACCCUGGCAACGAUGAAUUUCUUGCCGAUUCCUUAGGAUGAUCCUUAGGAAUGAAUUAACGAUGAGUAGCUGAUUCUUAAGGUAGACCCUUAAGAGUAAAGAAGAUAAUGGGGAUGGGUAAUUGGGUUAACUGUUUGACGAUUAAACAUAAUAAUUAUAUCAUUGUGGGUUGAAAACCCUAUGUACUCACCAAUUUUCGCAACCUAACCCACUUAGUUUAUUUAUAUCACAGGUGUUGAUAUGAAGUCACAUUACACUGAGAGAUUAAGGAGAUAUAGAUCACUAGUGAUAAUGAAUGUAAGUUCUGUUUAUGCUUAUGUUUCUGUAUUGACAAUGACAUCCCAAAUAUUUUAAAAUGAAUAAAAUUACUUUUCUUCGGAAAUGCUUUGAUAACGUAUUUAUCAUGUUCUACUGGGAACAAAUUCCGCAACAUUUUGAUUAAAAGAGAUACUCUGAUUUUUAUAAAGCAUAAACAUAAUCGGUCUUUUCUGGCCGUGAAAAUGAGGAUGUCACAACUUAAAUCAUAUUAAAACCUGUAUAAAAGUUUCAUUCAACACCCAUCUCAAAUAAAGAAAUAAUAUAAUUACACAUAGCACGUAUUUUAUAUAAAAUAGUUCAUAUCUACGUGUAAGGUGAAAGUGACCACACACUCACAUGAUAAGACGAUAAUCGGGCAUCACCUCGUCUCUUAAAAUAAUAUUCUUCGAUAAAACCAGGGUGUUUUUUCAAAAACGGGCUUCACACGGGCAGAGUUUUGGCCCGAAAACUCUUUUUCUCGGGAUCAUCGGGGCUCUCGAGCUUGCUCCGGUUGUUAGGAUGAUACACUAGGCUUCGGUGGUAUUUCUUGCAAAGUAGAAGAGAGUUUAGGGGUGAAACAUGUUAAAGAAGUAAACAAAAACCCGAAUGACAUCAAGUCCUAUUUAUUGGGGCAGUAACAUCGAUUUAAGUUGGGCGUAAAUUUAGAGUAGGCUGGGUGUACUGCGAAUUUCCAAACUUCUAAAAUUUGUAACUUUUGCAUACGAACUCCAUUUUUGACGUUCUUUAUAUCCACGCUUAAGUGAGACUACGCUUUACAACUUUUGUUAAGACUCCGUCGGGUAAUUUUGAAUUUAUUAUUAAAGUUAUAUUUUUAACAGGUCGGGAUAGGAAAAGUCCGUUAAAAUUUCAUAACUUCUUCAUCCGACAUUCGUCUUCGUCUAUCUUUUUACCGUUAAAAUAAAAUCAACAAGAUCUUUGAUUCUCGUUUAGAUUGUCUCGGCUAAAAAUCUUUCGAUCUAAAUUUCGAGUUUUGGGUUGCAUACUAAUAAGUCAAAACUUCGAAAAAUUAUAACUUCCUCAUACAAAGUCAGAUUUAGACAUUCUUUUGAUGCACACACUUGGUUUAACGAAUACUACGACUUUUGUUUAUAUCACUAAUGUUAAAAAGCACUUUAUCGUAAAUUCACUUUUUACGUCACAUAGCGUUGUGCCGGUUCUAUCUCGAAACUUCGACAUGUCAUAACUUCUUCGUUAUAACUUGGAUUUCAGUAUUCUUUAUAUCUCUAGAAUCCUUAUUUCAACCACUACAACUUUCUUCAUAGGUAUUGGGUUUAUCUAAUGUUUAUUUCUGACGCUUAUUUUUAUUCUUAACUCAUUAAAUCAUAAUAAUUAAGUAAACAAGCACAAAAUUCACAUAAUUCCUAUUUAUUAUUUCAAAACGAGUUACAAAGGAUAACCUGCUCUAUUACAUCAUCUUUAGUGCUUAGCCCAGAAACACAGGUGUUACAUACGCUAAGCGUACACCUGUUGGGGCUAGUACAUGCCGCAUACCAGGUGGGUACGCCCAACGUACUCCUCUGAGGUCCAACCCUCUCUAAAUAAGAACUUAAUCACUUCAGCCCUUGCUCCAACUCUCAAGCCUAACUUCUAUAGGUGGCUUGUCAAAUAAAGUUGGCAACGUUACUAACAUGCAUGGCUUAAUGGGACUCUAGAGCUUAAAAGUGCUUAAUUAAUGAUCUUAACUCAUGAAUGGACUCAAACACUUCACAAAUCUUGCACCUUUAUGAGAGAAGGGACCUUAGAAUGUCUAGAUCUACAAGUUUGAGUCCUAAAACGAACUUAGCCCACCAAGACCAAGAAAAAGGCUAAAAGUGGCCAAAAACCAACCCAAAAGAGGAUCUAUGAUAUGGAAGGUCAAGAUCAGAGCUUUUUACCUCCAAUAGGUUGCAAAAUACGAGAACUUUCUGGAUCUACAAGGUCCCUUCCAUGAUCAACACUUGAACACCACCUUCCUCCUCUUGUACGCAUGCUAAUAAGUCUUCUUUUAAGCUCCAAGCUCCCUCCAAGAAAAUCUAGGGUUUCAUGGGCGUGAAAAGGGGUGGUCGGUGACUUGAAAUGACCUAAGGAGUGAUAUAAUGUUGCUUAUAUAGGAUACAAGUUAGGGAAAUUAUGGUUUUGGUCUGGAAGGAGUACGCCCCGCAUACCGCUUUGUACGCCCGACGUAGUCAAGAACCACCCUCGAUCAUUUACUCUUAUAUGUUGGGCAUACCCAGCUAAUCAUGCGCAUGAAAAUCCUUGCAUGCAUGGGACUGAUCCACCAUAUCUUUUCAUUAGAGGCCAAUUCUGCCCAAACCUUCAAAGUGUCCAAACUCACUCGCCCUAUAUCCGUUUCUGUCGAACUUUAUAUCCACAAAAAGGUGGCGGGAAGCUCUACGCUCCUAGCCACACUCUUGAGCCUUAAAUCCUUCUGAUUAUAACCCAAAAGUUUUUAAAGGCUGAGAUAUCAGUUUACAGUCAUACCCUUGGCUUCCGAAGACAUAAUUGAAUAUAUGGUUCACUUAGACUCUAGCAACUACAUCCGAUAUGAGCUAUAUCCAUCCUUAACCACAUCCCCUAACCCCUAUGUCAACUAAUGACUGGGCCACAACAUCUAGCAACGAAGCAAUCCGGAAGCAGAUGUUACAACUCUCCCCUACGUAAAUUAGAUUUUGUCCUUGAAAUCGCUCCUUACCGAUAUUCAUAACCAAUACUACUAACCCAAGGAACACUGUCACACCCCGAAACCGAUGGCAGAAACGUUCCGAGGCGGAGGACGUCAUGUAAAGUAUCACAACCAAUGUACAUAGUAAGCAUAGUGAACACAAAACAUUACAUUACAUAGAAUCAUUACAUUUGUUUGAAAGUAAGGUGAUACAGGUUUUAUAGAUACAUUAGUUUAAACAAAACUAAAGACGUGACUUCCAUAUGCUCCAUCUUCUGCAAAAGAACGCGGGAUACUUGUCUAAGGAGAACCUGAGAAUACAAGCAGUUUUAAAAAUAUCAGCAUAAAGCUGGUGAGUUCAUAAGCGGUUUGUUUCUGGUAAAAGAAUAAGUUUUCUUUGGUUUUCUGAAAAAGUUGAUAUCCAAUAAAAUCCCAUAUUUUCUUAUAAGUAAAGUUUAGCUAUCCAUUUCUUACACAAUUUGGUUAAGAACAGUUUGUUAUCCGGUUAUUACACAAUCUGGUUAAGAACAAGUUCAGUUAUCCCAGGAAAAACCCUUAUUUUCCUUAAAAGUUUGUGGUUGGUUAUUGAAUCUGAAUGAAGUGUACAUGAAUCUACCAUACUUCUAGUGUUUGUAUGAAGUUUCCUGAAAUCCUGGUUAUCCUUGAAAGGUACGUUAGUUUUAACACGUAUAUAAAACUAUCAAUUAAAUAGUAAACUAAUUUCUAAGGUUAUUAAUUUACUAAGUUCUUUAUUACUUAAAAGUAAAUCUCUGUUAUCUAAGUUUGCGAGGUCUAUAACCAUACGAUAAACUAGAUAUGGAAAGGAAGGCUAGUAUCAUUUAUGACUUUUGUGACCCGUAGAGCUGCCGGUCCCACUGUAGCUAGCAGCAAGGUGCGGGGUAGUCAGCCCCGUAUAGAUCUAUACACUCAAUUCACGCUCUCCAACUAAGAGAUUCUGGUUAUAGGGGCGGUCCUCUACUCCCCUAUCUUUGUGGAGUGUGACAGAGGACGUGUCUCCAACCCUAAGAUUAAUGAAUUUACAAGUAAUAAUGCAGAAAAUCCUGUUUUAAGUUCUAGUUACAAAGGUGGUCCUCCACUCGCGUAUCUCUGUGGAGUGUUACAGAGGACAUCUAAAGUUCUAAAAUUAAUGAUUUUUAACAGGAAUGAAAUGGAAAAUCAUUUGUGAAAUGUACAAUAUAACACUAUAUAAUAAGAUUUACAAUCAGUUUGAAAACUAACUCUGCAAGUCAAACGAUUGGUUAAUACGGUUUCCAGUGUUAAAAGUAUACGGAGUAUGAAACAUUUCAAAUAAAAUAAUAAGUUUGAGUACAAGAUAUUCUUGUACUUUUGCUUGUAUUCCCCAUUGAACACAUUGAAAACACAGAAAAAGUGUAGGAGUAUGAACUCACCGGACGAGAAAUGUGUCGGUUGGAUGCUAAGUGUCAGUUCGGGGCUUGAGUACGCACGAGGUUCCUAUGUAAUAUGAAGAAAUACAUAAUUGUGUCUAAUUGGACUUUGAACUAGUAAUUAGAUAAGAUAGUACACUCCGAGGCGCAAAAAGACUUCGUUUCAAGUGUUAGGAGUGAUCCGGGUAGCAUCUAAGGGUGUGUAUGACCUAAAUAUGGAGUUUGCUCUUCAAGAGUAAACUCCUAAUGGAGAUUAUGGCCCUAAGACCAUAUCCCCAUGAGUUUAAGGCCGUAAACUCAUGCGUGGUGUGGUCUUGGUUGCUUAAUUGUCUUACAACACUUGUGGGAUGAUGUUAGGUUCAGUUCUAAGGCAUUGGAAGGAAUUAAACCAUCAAAGGGACCAUUGCAAGGAGUUUACGGCUAUAAACUAGGAUUUUACAGCCGUAAAAUCUCAUAUACCCUUUCCUUAUGUGUUUUGGUGUCCCUAGGUUAAGCACAAGUGUUUUUAGUCCAAACUACAAGCCAUGGAAGGAUGUUAGGGCACCAUUUGACCACUAUAAAAGAGUUUACAGCCCAGGAACCAUUCUUUGGGGGGUUUACGGCCGUAAUCUCCUAAGGGGGUGGUUUCUCUCAUGUUUAAGGUCCCUAACACAAAGGUGGUUGAUUCUAGACAUUGUUCCAAGGCUUAGGUGGUGCUUAGGGGCAUCUUAACACCUUAAAAGGUGUUUGCGGCCUUAGAAUGGGGGUUUACGGUCCAAGCAUGUUCUUGGGCCGUAAACUCAUGUUUACCCCUCAAGUGUUAAGGUUUUGGUGUUCCAAGUCCAUUCAUGUAAGCCCCUAAGUCAUAUCUAAGCUCCAGAAGUGGUUUGGAAGGGUUUUGGGGCUUCAAAAACACCUUUAAGGGAGUUCACGGUUUUGGGAGGUGUUCCCAAUCCGUAUACACUUGUUCUUUAUGGUUUUAGAUGGUUUAAACACAGAUUUACAUGCUUAACAAGUUAAACAAGAAAGUAGGGUAGAUUACUUACGAUUUUGGGAGCUUGAAGAGGCGUUUUUGGAUCAAACUCGAGUUUUAGAGAGAGAGUAGAGAGAGAAAGUUAUGAGGGUGGGUAAAAAGCUUAAAUGAAUGUCACUCAUCCUUUAUAUAAGGCUUGAGUUUGUGGCCCGGUGGAAAUCUACCCGAUACCGACGUUAAACGAGGUUUAUGGUCAUACCCGAUUUAAUUGUCGUAACCCGACUUAGUCGUAACUAAAAAUUUUCCAAUUAAAUAACGAGGGUAUUUUCACGCAUUUCUAAUGGGUUUAGACACUCAUGAGGUCACAAUAAAAAUCUUAAUUUAAAUGACCUAAUCCAAAAUGUUAAAGGAAAAAUUGAAAUACAAACGGUUUUAUUGACGGAAAUGGGUUACCGUGACGGAAUAAAUUAUGGGUUGUCACAUUAUCCCCCUGCUAGAGGGAAUUUCGUCCCGAAAUUUAGAAUUAAGAUACAAAUCAUAUAAUUUGAUAGAGAUGCGGAUAUUUUUAUUUCAUCGAGUCUUAGACUUCCCAAAUGAACUCGGGUCCUCGCUUGGCAUUCCAGCGAACCUUCACUAUUAGGAUAUGGCGUUGUUUCGUACGUUUAAUCUCUCGAUCCAUGAUUUCGAUUGGUUCUUCCAUUGAGUUCAGAAUUUCGUUGAUCUCGGUCUCAUCAAAAGGGAUUACUAGGGUUUCAUCGGAUAGACACUUUUUAAGAUUAUAGAUGUGGAAGACAGGAUGGAUGUUGCUUAGUUCUGAAGGUAGUCGGAGUUUGUAGGCUACGGGAUUGAUCCUAGCGAGGAUCUCGAAAGGUCCUAUGUAUCUCUGGUUAAGUUUUCCACGCUUUGCAAAGUGUAUAAUCCCUUUCCAGGGCGAGACCUUCAACAGGACACAGUCUCCAACCUGGAAUUCCAAGGGUUUCCAUCAUUUAUCAGCGUAACUCUUUUGUCUCGUGAAGCUUUUAGUCGUUCUCGAAUCUGGAUGAUCUUCUCGGUGGUUUCGCGGAUGAUUUUAGUACCAGUGAGAGCGCUGUCAGGGAUUUGACUCUUGGCUAGCUGUGUGUCCCCUACCUCGGCCCAGCACAGAGGGGAUCUGCACUUGUGACCGUAGAGGGCUUCGAACUGGGCAGCCUUGAUGCUGAUGUGGUAGCUGUUGUUAUACGAGAACUCGAUCAAGGGUAAAUGGGUGUCCCACGACUUUCCGAAAUCAAUGACACAUGCUUUCAUCAUGUCUUCCUAGGUCUGGAUAGUUCUCUCACUCUGGCCGUCCGUCUGAGGAUGAUAAGCUGUACUGAUAUCCAACUUAGUUCCAAGCGCCUUCUAAAGGGACUACCAAAACCUUGAGGUAAACCUGCUCUCUCGAUUGGAGAUAAUGGAUAUAGGCACACCAUGCAAUCGGUCUAUCUCUUGGAUGUAGAUUCGCGUGAGUCUAUCCAUCUUGAAUGAUUCUUUAAUCGGAAGGAAGUGAGCGGAUUUUGUCAAACGAUCGACAUUUAUCCAAAUGGUAUCGUACUCACUUGGAGAUCUGGGUAACUUGGUGAUGAAAUCCAUGGUAAUCAUCUCCCAUUUCCAUUUAGGUAUCUCGGGCUGCUGGAGCAGACCCGAGGGCUUCUAAUACUCGACCUUUACCUUGGUGCAAGUCAGACACUUGCCCACGAAGGUAGCGAUUUCGACUUUCACGUUUGGCCACCAGUAUUGUUUCUGGAGAUCCAGGUACAUCUUAUCCGAACCUAGGUGAACACAGUAUCUGGUCUUGUGAGCUUCGUUCAUAACAACUUCCCUGAAACCUCCGAAACUUUUGGGUCCAUAUUCGAUCCAUGAAACAGUAGACUCCGUCACCUCUGAUCUCAAGUUUCUUAUCUAUUCCUCUCAAGGCUUCGUUCAACACGUUCUCUAGUUUUAGGGCUUCCAACUGGGCUUCUCGGAUCUGUGCGGAUAAAUGAGAAUGGAUGGUCAUCGUCAAUGUCUUCGCCUUGUUACUUGAGCUUUCCUUUCGGCUAAGGGCAUCUGCUACCACAUUGGCCUUGUCGGGUUGGUCAGUGAAGAUCGUGCACUUAGUUCCGUAGAGGUAAUGUCUCCAAAUCUUCAGUGCGAAGACCACUGCUCCAAGUUCCAAGUUGUGAGUUGUGUAGUUAAAUUCGUGUGCCUUUAGUUGUCUUGAGGCAUAAGUGAUAACUUUUCCUCUCAGCCUAAGCACACAGCCUAAGCCCUGAUUAGACACAUCGCAGUAGACAACGAAAUCCCCUGUCCCUUCAGGCAAGGACAGAAUAGGCGCGCUGCACAAGGCUCACUUCAAUGUUUGAAAUGUUGUUUCUUGUUUCUCAUUCCAACAAAAGGGUACACCUUUCUGUGUCAAAGUAGUUAGGGGUUUGGCGAUUUUGGAAAAAUUCUUGAUGAACCUGCGAUAGUAGCCAGCGAGACCCAAGAAUUAACGGAUUUCUAUGGGUGUCUUCGGUGCCAACCAAUUCUCUAUCGCCUUGAUUUUGGACGGGUCCAUGUGUAUACCCUCCUCGCUUACCACGUGACCAAGGAAAGAUAGCUUCCGAAUCCAGAAUUCGCACUUGGAGAAUUUCACAUACAGCUUCUCCGUUCUAAGAGUUUCCAACACUAACCUCAAGUGUUGUUUGUGAUCUUCUUCGCUUCGGGAAUAGACAAGUAUGUCGUCAAUGAACACGACGACGAACUUGUCCAAAAAGGGGCGACACACCUGGUUCAUCAGGUCCAUGAACACGGCCGAUGCAUUGGUUAGACCGAAUGGCAUCACUACGAACUCAUAGUGACCAUAACGAGUCCUGAAUGCUGUCUUGGAAACAUCAUUCUCGUGAACUCGAAGCUGAUGGUACCCUGAUCUGAGGUCUAUCUUCGAGAAGUAACUGGCUUCUUGAAGUUGAUCGAAGAGGUCGUCUAUUCGAGGAAGAGGAUAACAGUUUUUGACGGUUAAUUUAUUCAACUCGCGGUAGUCUAUGCACAUCUGAAAGGAUCCAUCUUUCUUCUUCAGAAAUAAUACCGGGGCUCCCCAGGGUGAGGAACUCGGUUUGAUGAACCCUUUGUCUAGUAGCCCAUUGAGCUAACUGGAUAACUCCUGCAUUUAUGUUGGAGCUAAGCGAUACGGAGAUUUGGCUACAGGAUUAGCUCCAGGAAUCAGAUCGACGCGAAACUCGACGUAACGUUCUGGAGGAAUUCCCGGGAGCUCUUCAGGAAAGACAUCAGGAAAGUUGCAGACUUCGGGGAUGCUCUCUAGGUCUUUAACUUCCUGUUUCUCGUUGAUUACAUGAGCUAGGAAUGCGUAACACUCCUUUCACAGAAGCUUUUGAGCUUUGAUGCAGGAAAUGAUGCGAAGAUUGGAACUAAGUUUGUCGCCGUAGAUCAUGAGAGUCUGGCCAGAGGGGAGCUUGAGACGGAUGGCUUAUUCGUAACAAAGGAUAUCAGCAUGAGUGGGACUCAACCAAUCCAUGCUAAUGAUAACAUCAAAGCUCUUAAUGGAAACUGGCAUCAAGUCGAUGGGAAAGGAAUGAUCGUGCAGGGUAAGGGUACAGCCUAUGAAUAUAUAUAUCCUUGGCGUUUUCUUUCUCACCGUUAGCCAUCUCGACGGUAAAUGUUUAGGUUACUAGAUGAGGACUAUGUUUAAGAAGAUGUUUGAAUGACUGGCUAAUCAAAUUUCUUUAGCACUAGAAUCGAAAAGGAUGCGAGCAUAAGAAUUAUCGAGAAGGAACGUACCCAUGACGACGGUGGGAUUGGCGACUGCCUCCUCCUGCUUUAUAGUCAGAACGAUCCUGGCGUUGUAGGUGGUUGUUGCUCUUGGGAAGUUUCUCUUGAAAUGCCCGAUUUCACCGCACCCAUAGCAGGCCUGAUCGAUACCUGCUCUGGAAGUUUGAUUGAUUGGUUGAGUUGGUGUUCUGCAGUUUCGCGUAAGGUGACCCUUCUUGCCAUAACUGAUGCAGAUUAUCUCACGGCAUGGGCCAGGGAUACGAUGGUGGUAAUUGCACCUGUUGCACCAAGGGAGGUUUCCAGCAUACCUAUUGGUAGGUGCUUGAGCUGUAGACGCAGCGACAGGAGUAGUAGCAGCUUGGACUGCCACUGAUUUAUGUUUCUUGGAGGGUCCUUGUGAACUCUGACCCUUUCGCUUUUUCCAGAAAAUAUCCUUACUCUAAUCAAACUCAUUCUGGUGCCCCUGACCAUCUUCAUGGUUUUGGGGAUAGGUGUUACUUCCUGGUCUACUGGACCUGCUAAGCUUCAAGUGCGCCAUUGCAGACGUCACUGCAGCAGUAACAACUGCCUGAAAUAGGACAGGGUCGAAUUAAGAAGGAGGCGGUGGCGGAGGGUUGUUGUUCCUUUAGCUGGGUUCUUUCUUUGGAGGCAUAUUGAUCUAAAAUUAUUAGGAAAAAGAGGAUGGUAAGUCCUCAUAAUUGAAUAAUGAGAUAUGAAACAAAAGAUAUCUCAUUAUGACAGAUAAAGUGUUUUACUAAGCGAUAAUAUGUUGGAAAACUACCAAAACAAGGGAAUUUUUCGCUAAGGAAAGAAUGAGUAGCAACACUUGGAAUGAAUUUCUACAACGUAUUCGACUUUUUCUAAAUACUUCUAUAGUAUUUUAUGGUUUGUUGCGAUGACGACUCAUUGUUUGGAUAUUUGGUAAGUUUUAGGCAUGUUGCACACCACAGUGACUCCCAAAAACAUGUUGGUCGUGUCUCGAAUGAAUAUAGUUGAUCAGGCUCUAUUGACCCUAGACACGACUACAUAACUGCCCAGGGUUAACCGCAGUGCAUAACAACCAAUUACUUAUGUUUUGUUCUACUCGAGGUUACGGUAUCUGACGGUUAGGUAUUCUCGUAUACUUUUGAAAAAGACUUAUAUUUUAAAGUAUACUUUUAGUUCAGAGUACUUCGGCCCCUUAGUGUUCAUAGUCUUAUACCAUGUAAGGUUUUAGCUCUGAUACCAAUGUGUCACACCCCGAAACCGAUGGCGGAAACGUUCCGGGGCGGAGAACGUCAUGUAAAGUAUCACAACCAAUGUACAUAGUAAGCAUAGUAAACACAAAACGUUACAUUACAUAGAAUCCUUACAUUUGUUUGAAAGUAAGGUGAUACAUGUUUUAUAGAUACAUUAGUUUAAACAAAAGUAAAGACGUGACUUCCAUAUGCUCCGUUUUCUGCAAAAGAACGCGGGAUACCUGUCUAAGGAGAACCUGAGAAUACAAGCAGUUUUAAAAAUAUCAGCAUAAAGCUGGUAAGUUCAUAAGCGGUUUGUUUCUGGUAAAACAAUAAGUUUUAUUUGGUUUUCUGAAAAAGUUGAUAUCCAAGCAAAUCCCAUAUUUUCUUAUAAGUAAAGUUUAGUUAUCCAUUUGUUACACAAUUUGGUUAAGAACAGUUUGUUAUCCGGUUAUUACACAAUCUGGUUAAGAACAAGUUCAGUUAUCCCAGGAAAAACCCUUAUUUUCCUUAAAAGUUUGUGGUUGGUUAUUGAAUCUGAAUGAAGUGUACAUGAAUCUACCAUACUUCUAGUGUUUGUAUGAAGUUUCCUGAAAUCCUGGUUAUCCUUGAAAGGUACGUUAAUUUUAACACGUAUAUAAAACUAUCAAUUAAAUAGAAAACUAAUUUAUAAGGUUAUUAAUUUACUAAGUUCUUUAUUACUUAAAAGUAAAUCUCUGUUAUCUAAGUUUGCGAGGUCUAUAACCAUACGAUAAACUAGAUAUGGCAAGGAAGGCUAGUAUCAUUUAUGACUUUUGUGACGCGUAGAGCUGCCGGUCCCACUGUAGCUAGCAGCAAGGUGCGGGGUAGUCAGCCCCGUAUAGAUCUAUACACUCAAUUCACGCUCUCCAACUAAGAGAUUCUGGUUAUAGGGGCGGUCCUCUACUCCCCUAUCUUUGUGGAGUGUUACAGAGGACGUGUCUCCAACCCUAAGAUUAACGAAUUUACAAGUAAUAAUGCGGAAAAUCCUGUUUUAAGUUCUAGUUACAAAGGUGGUCCUCCACUCGCGUAUCUCUGUGGAGUGUUACAGAGGACAUCUAAAGUUCUAAAAUUAAUGAUUUUUAAUAGUAAUGAAAUGGAAAAUCAUUUGUGAAAUGUACAAUAUAACACUAUAUAAUAAGAUUUACAAUCAGUUUGAAAACUAACUCUGCAAGUCAAACUAUUGGUUAAUACGGUUUCCAGUGUUAAAAGUAUAUGGAAUAUGAAACAUUUCAAAUAAAAUAAUAAGUCUGAGUACAAGAUAUUCUUGUACUUUUGCUUGUAUUCCUUCCUGAAAACAUUGAAAACACGGAAAAAGUGUAGGGCUAUGAACUCACCGGACGAGAAAUGUGUCGGUUGGAUGCUAAGUGUCAGUUCGGGGCUUGAGUACGCACGAGGUUCCUAUUUAAUAUGAAGAGAUACAUAAUUGUAUCUAAUUAGACUUUGAACUACUAAUUAGAUAAGACAGUACACUCCGAGGCGCGAAAACACUUCGUUUAAAGUGUUAGGAGUGAUCCGGGUGGCAUCUAAGGGUGCGUGUGGCCUAAAUAUGGAGUUUGCUCUUCAAGGGUAAACUCCUAAUGGAGAUUACGGCCCUAAGACCAUAUCCCCAUGAUUUUACGGUCGUAAACUCAUGGGUGGUGUGUUCUUAGUUGCUUAAUGGUCUUACAACACUUGUGGGGUGAUGCUAGGUUCAGUUCUAAGGCAUUGGAAGGAAUCAAACCAUCAAAGGGACCAUUGCAAGGAGUUUACGGCUGUAAACUAGGAUUUUAUGACCGUAAACUCUCAUAUACCCUUUCCUUAUGUAUUUUGGUGUCCCUAGGUUAAGCACAAGUGUUUCUAGUCUACAGUACAAGCAAUGGAAGGAAGUUAGGGCACCAUUUGACCACUAUAAAGGAGUUUACAGCCCAGGAACCAUUCUUUGGGGGGUUUACGGCUAUAAUUGUUGGAUAAGGUGUCUAAGUCCAUAACUAUUUCUGGUAUGUACUUGACCCGACCCGGCAUGGUCCAUUUGGGUUGCAUGGCACCAUGUAAUUGGAUAGACUAAAUGAGAGAAAUAACACUUGGAGAUUAUUAAUAUAUUAUAAGUUCUUAUAUAUUAAUAAUAUUAUUUGAUUAGUUUGAUCAAGAAUUGAUUUAGAAUUAAUUAAGUGAUCAAAAGAUAACUAAUUAAAUAUAUGGGUUGAUUAUGUAAAUCAUCCAUAUCUUGUAUAGUGGGCUAAGAGGCUCCAUGGAUUAUCAAGUUGGGUUCCACCCAUAGGAUACUCCAUGGAUGCUCCAUGGGAGUUACAAACCCAUGGCUCAUGGAAAUGAAGAGUCAUGACACAUUAGGGUUUACAUGGUGUAACCCUAGAUGUGUCAACACUAUAUAAGAAUCCCAUUCUCCACCAAAAUCGGCUACACAUAAGAAACAAGAGGGCUAGGCCGAUUUCAAGAAGUGUGUAUUCUCUCAAAAGUCUUUCCAAGAGCAUUUGGUGUUGUGUGAAGCAUUUGAGGCAUCACACUUGGGGUGCUAGGCUCACAAGGUUUCAAGGAACAUAAGCAACAACAAGGUAAGUUAUUCUAUCUUUCAUUCAAGUUAAAAAUUGUUCCCCAUGUAUGCUAGAUAGGAAUAUAACCUUGGAAUUCAACUUUGCAUGAUAAUUAGACAAACAUAGAUCCAAGGUUAUUAGGGUUGCAUGUACACUUAGGAAGUGUUAGAAUGCUCAAAACCCAUCAGUGGUAUCAGAGCCUAGGCUUGUUUGUUUGUUAUUUGUGCUUAAAAGUUGAAGAAAGUCGAAAAUCUUGCUGUCUGACUGAUGGACUCGGCGAGUCCAUGGGGAGGACUCGUCGAGUUCAUGUGUAUCUUCAACCUACUCGGCGAGUAGGUUUAUGCACUCGGCGAGUAGGGUCGACAGAGUGCAGAUUUUCGACUUUAGUUGCUGGAAAUGGACUAGAAACAUUACCCUAAACUAUUUUGGUACUUGAAAACUUGUUUUAGAUGGUGUAAUGUCUUUGCUAAUUCAUUUACAACAACUGGUUAUCAAAAUUAGAAAGUUUUAAAUGUAAGUUUUGAUUCAUGAAAGUGUUCAUGUUCAAGUUCUUGAUCUUAUGAAGUUUAGAUGAUCAUAGAAAUUAUGUGUAACCUAUGUGGUAGAUUAAUUCAUGAUCAUAAUGUGUUUUAAUGGAGUCCAUAACUUGUCCUCAAGUUAUGGAAAACCAAAAGUCUCUUGGAUUAAAAACCAUUAAAAGAACACAAGAGUUAGGAAAAAUGAAAAGUCCUCAUUUUAUUACUCUAUUAAACUCAUAAGUUACAAGAAAUGAAAAGUUUUGAAAGUUUACAAAACUUGCCCUCAAGUUUUGGAACAAGUAAAGUUAAGUUAAAACUUUAGUUCCAACCCCUAGAAUUUUAAAAGUUAAAAUUCAACCCUUAUACUUAUAUUAUUAUGAUUUAAUAAUUAUAUAUAUAUGUAUAAGAACAAAGUCGUCUUACCGCUAGUACGCCUCAUUCACGAAGCCGGUCUAUAAGGUGGGUAUAAGGUUGUUGCCUAUAAAAUGGUGACUUAAUGGGUGUCCACUCUCACCCACCGCUUGCUUGAUCGGUGGAGGGUCGUUAGCCGAACGGGUAAGACAAGGACUUAUUAAUUCUCAUUCAAAGUAUGAUGAAUAUUAUAAAGUAACUAAAUGUUUUAUUAAAUUCCCAAUCUUAGUUACUUUAGGAAAAAUGUGAAUAAGGUGCUAUUCCAUGAAAUUACACUUUACACUUUGAUUAAGUCGUUGGUGGAGCGUGUGUGGUUAACCGGCACACUAACUUGGACUUAACAAGGUAGGUAAAGGGUGACUUAGGGUUUAUUAUAGUAUCGAUGGAGCGUGUGUGGUUAACCGGCACAUCGAUUGAGUGAUAAACUUUAAGGGUACCAAGUGAUUUGCAUGGUUACUUCACACCUCGUUUUGUGAUCCUCGGUAUCCCAGUCACAAAACUUGGAGGGCACACUCGAGAUUGAAACAUGCCUUUGAAAAGUUCAUUGAAUCUCAAAGAAUCUAGGAAUUUCUAAGAACCAUUCAAAAACCUAAUACUAAAAUAUUGCGGUUUUCGUGGUGGAAAUUGGUGAAUCGUCAUUCACCUACCUUUCAAAUAUGAUAUAGCUUAGAUUACGGCAUACCUCUUCUAAGUUAUAUUAUAUUGUGAUUGGAUCCUAGCCUUAAUAUUACAUUUGGGUGUUUUAUUAAGGACUCUCUUAUAUCUAAACUAAUCUUGUCCUCUUUCCUUCAGAUGUCUUUCAACAAUGCUUCUGGCUCUAAUCCUAAUGGCUCCUUUACCCUUAUGAACUUGUGUGGGAAAGUCACCUUUGAUGGAUCCAACUUCAAUGAGUGGAUCAGAAACAUCAGGAUGAUUACCCGCUACGAGGACAAAGAAUAUGUCCUUGACAAGGAGCUUAAGGAGAUUGAUGAGUCCACUGCAACUCCUCAGGAGAUCGCUGAAUUUCGGGCACAUGAAAGGGAUGCUACGAAAGUGGCUUGCAUCAUGAUGGCCACGAUGACAGCGGAACUCCAAAAGUCUUAUGAGGAUUUCUACCCUUAUGACAUGCACCAAGAUUUGAUGGAAAGAUACCAUCAAAGUGCAAGACAAGAGAGGUAUGAAAUCAUCUGCUCCAUGAUAACAACCAUGAUGAAGGACGGGGAAUCCGUCACGAGCCACAUGCAGAAAAUGCAAAGGUAUGUGGAUCGUUUGCUGAAGCUUAAUGUGAACUUCCCGGAGGAUCUUGCAAUAGAUAUUAUUUUGCAUUCCUUACCAUCGUGCUAUGAUCAAUUCCGCAUGACAUAUCACAUGAACAAGGAAGAAGUCACCCUCAGCAAACUUCAGGGACUUCUCAAGACCGCAGAAACAGGUCUUAAGGGGAAGUCGGUUGCUAUCACUCCUACUCAAAACUCUACUCCGGUUUUGGCAAUCGGGAAAAGUCGAGGGAGGAAGAGAAAGAGCUCUUCUAAGGGUACCAAGGCUCGGACCCUUGAUGGCUCUUCUUCAAGUGGAACCAAGAAAGGUUUCGUUACUCCUUCUUCUGACCCAAAAGAGGCUGAAUGCUUCUAUUGCCAUGAAAAAGCUCAUUGGAAGCGGAACUGCCCAAAAUACCAGCAAGAUGUGAAGGAUGGGAAAGUUAAACCCAACCAUGCAGGUAUUUACACUAUCAUUUCUAAUAACUCACCCCAUUCUAAUUCUUGGGUCCUUGAUACCGGGUGUGGUAUUCACAUUUGUUGUGACUUGCAGGGACUAAGAAGAAGUGAGGAUGUGGAGCAAGGAAGGAUAAACUUGAUCAUGGGGAAUAGGAAAGCUAUACCUGUUACCAAGAUUGGAGUUUAUACUUUAUCGCUAAGUAGUGGGUUUAGUUUAGAUUUGAAUAAGUGUUGUUAUUCGCCAGGAAUGGCAAGAAAUAUUAUUUCCUUUCAUGCUUUGUACAAACAAGGGUUUACCUUUUCAUUUAAUAAUGAAGUUGGUUCUAUAGAUGUUUUCUAUAAUAAUGUCUUUUAUUUUAAAGCAUUACCUUGUGAUGGUGUGUAUGAAGCUGUAUCUGUUGUAGAUAACUUGGGAAAUAAUGUUUUGUGUAUUGAUUCUACUAAUAAUAACUUGGAUAAAGCAUCUUUAUGGCAUUGUCGUCUUGGACAUAUAAGCAAGAAACGCAUAGGCCAACUCCAAAAGGAUGGAGUCUUGGAGUCGUUUGACCUAAAGUCAGAUGAUAGUUGCGAAUCAUGCUUACUUGGAAAAAUGACAAAGUCACCCUUCACAGGUUCGUGUGAGAGGGGUGAAGGUUUGUUGGACCUUAUACACACGGAUGUGUGUGGACCAUUCAAACAUGCCACAAGGGAUGCUAAUCGUUAUUAUUUGACUUUUACUGAUGAUUAUAGUAGAUAUGGAUAUGUCUACUUGAUCAAGCAUAAGUCAGAGACUUUCGAGAGGUUUAAGGAAUUUAAACAGGAAGUCGAGAAUCAAUUGGGCAGGAACAUUAAGAUGCUUCGAUCCGAUCGUGGUGGUGAGUAUCUUAGUUCAGAGUUCCUCGACUAUCUAAGGGAAUGUGGGAUAGUCUCACAAUUGACACCUCCCAGGACACCACAGUUGAAUGGUGUGGCUGAGAGGCGUAAUCGAACCUUGUUAGAUAUGGUUCGUUCCAUGAUGAGUCGAGCUACGCUACCAAUCUCAUUCUGGGGGUAUGCCUUAGAGACUGCCGCCCAUAUUCUUAAUCUAGUCCCUACAAAGAAAGUUGCCAAAACUCCUCACGAGAUGUGGACUGGUAAAGUACCUAAACUAGACCACAUCAAGAUUUGGGGUUGCGAGGCUUUCGUGAGACGCGAGACUCAUGAUAAGCUCGAACCUCGAAGCGAGAGGUGUAUUUUCAUCGGUUACCCACAGCGAUCCUUUGGUUACCUCUUCUACAGACCUAGUGACAAUGUGGUCUUUGUAGCAAGAAGAGGAGUCUUUCGAGAAAGAGAGUUUAUAAGCCAAGGAGACAGUGGGAGGCAAAUUGAUCUUGAAGAAAUUCAAGAAUCAAGCGGUGAAGGAACUUCAAACUCUAGCCCUCAACUUGAGGAGGAAACUCCUGUUGAGCCAAUUGACAAAUCUGUACCUCUGAGACGUUCCACGAGAGUUAGGAGUGCACCUGAGCAUUACUAUGGAUUCCAUAUUACUGCAGAAGGUGAGACACUUAUUAGUGAUGAGACACUAGUAAGUCAAGAUGACCCUAACAGCUACGAGGAAGCCAUGGCAGGCCCCGAGUCUGCUAAAUGGAAAGAGGCUAUGGAUAGCGAGAUACAAUCCAUGUAUGACAAUCAAGUUUGGAACUUGGUUGAAAAUGUACCAGGUCGUAAGACAGUAGGGUGCAAAUGGGUCUUCAAGAAGAAGACCGACAUGGAUGGUAAAGUACACACUUAUAAGGCUAGACUGGUUGCAAAGGGCUUCUCUCAAAUUCCUGGAGUGGAUUAUGAUGAGACCUUUUCUCCGGUAGCCAAGAUUAAGUCUAUUCGGGUUCUGUUAGCCAUAGCUGCAUUUCAUGACUAUGAAAUAUGGCAGAUGGAUGUCAAAACCGCUUUCCUUAAUGGAAAGUUGGCUGAAGAUGUUUACAUGAGUCAGCCAGAGGGUUUUGUCAGCAACGAGUACCCUAAUAGAGUGUGUAAGCUUGAGAAAUCCAUUUAUGGAUUGAAGCAAGCACCUCGCAGAUGGAAUCUUUGCUUUGAUGAAAAGGUCAAGGAAUUUGGCUUUUCUAGGAGUGAAGAUGAAUCUUGUGUGUAUGUCAAGGCUAGUGGGAGUAUAGUUAGCUUUUUGGUAUUGUAUGUGGAUGACAUACUACUCAUAGGAAACGACAUUCCAACCCUGCAGGAAGUAAAGUCCUGGCUUGGGAAGUGUUUCGCUAUGAAGGACCUUGGUGAAGCUGCCUAUAUUCUAGGGAUAAGAAUCUUGAGAGAUCGGAGUAAAAGACUAAUUGGACUUAGUCAGAGUACCUACUUGGAUAAGGUGCUGAAGAGAUUCAGCAUGCAGGAUUCCAAGAAAGGAGAGUUACCCAUCCAGAGUAACACCAGAUUGAGUAAGACACAAAGCCCUAGCACUGAGGCUGAGAUAGCAGAAAUGAGUCGAACACCUUAUGCUUCGGCUGUAGGAUCGAUCAUGUAUGCUAUGACGUGUACUCGACCCGAUGUAGCUUUUGCCUUGAGCAUGGUUAGCAGGUAUCAGGCGAACCCUGGCAAGGCACACUGGACUGCGGUAAAGAAUAUCCUCAAGUACCUACGGAGGACUAAGGACUGGGUCCUUACCCUCGGUGGGAGUGAUGACUUGAGAGUUGUAGGGUAUAGUGAUGCUAGCUUCCAGACUGAUAGGGAUAAUUUCCGCUCUCAGUCGGGCUGGGUCUUUACCCUAAACGGAGGAGCAAUUUCUUGGAAGAGUUCCAAGCAAGAGACAGUGGCAGAUUCUACUUGUGAAUCAGAGUAUAUUGCAGCUAGCGAGGCAGCAAAGGAGGCGAUAUGGCUGAAGAACUUCAUUGGAGACCUUGGAGUUGUACCAGCUAUUAAAGAGCCAAUAGAAAUUUUCUAUGAUAGUGAAAGCGCUGUUCCUUUAGCCAAGGAACCAAGGGAUCACAGGAGAUCCAGACACAUCGACAGAAAAUACCAUUUUAUCAGACAUCGAAUAGAAGAAGGACUCCUUGUGGCAAAGAGGGUAUCAUCGGAUGAGAACCCAGCAGAUCCCCUCACGAAGGGACUGACUCGGGUUAAGCAUCUCCAGCAUGCUCGGAGCAUAGGGUUGAAGGAUGAUAUUAGAUUUAGUAGUUAGAUAACCUCAAAAUUUGUAAAGUGUAAUUGACAUUAGAUGAUGAAUAAAAGGUGUUUUAUUUAUGAGUAAAGUGUUGCUAUCUCUUGUCGAUCGUUUACUAUAUUUCUUUUGCAUGUUUUGACUUCCAGAAUAACUUUGUUUGGUAUAACAUAUUAUUUAAAGCUCCAAAGUUGGUCAUAUGUCGGAAGUAGGUAUGAAUCAAGACUGUCAUGAUUGGUUGCAGAGGUCUAAGGUGUUGGACAAGGCUACAACAAUCAUGAGUGCUCAUAAGUUCUGAGCAUUGGACUCAACCCACACUCACUGGAAUCACUUCAUGGAAUUCUAUCUCGAGUGAUCGUGAGACGGUAAUAUCAUAUAAGUCUUCAAACCUAGAGAUAUGAUUUGUUACUUACAAGUUGGUUAUGCAUUGAUUGUACGAAAACGCAUUGGUAACUUGAUCUUAUAAAACGUGCUUUUCUGUAUAAUUCAAUGAGUGGUAGAACAAAC
rnacentral:lncRNA from 1 species